AAGAGCACAAGUAGAAUUAGACUUUCACCAUUGUUAUCACCAUUAUCACCAUACACCAUUCAUUCACCACACAUGCACAUCUUGAUUUGACUUUUUGACAUGUUUCUCUGGAUCCAUGGUUUGACUAUGCAAUAAAUGUCUUGUAAGUAUGUAUAAUUUAUCUCCCACCUAUGAGCUCUAGAUAUCAAAAGCCUUAUUAAAAGUAGGGUGAGAGAGAAGGCAAUGUCACUAUACCUCAUACCACAAAUACUACAUACUUUGAGAGAAGGCAUAUACCAUCACUGCCUUAGUAAGGAUCUAGAAAUACCAUAAAAGAGAGAUCUGAGAGAGUCAUACAAGGAAUUUCUGAGUUUUAUUUGAAAAUCUGCAAAAAACUCCAGAGCUAUAGCUGAUCAAGAAUGAGAGACAUGGCGCUUGACUAGACCGUUAUAUCUUUUAACUGCUCAAGACAGAAGUGACGAUUACAAGUCCCAUGGUGAAAGGUAAAAUGAGUAUGCUUUAAGUCUUGACAGUUUACUCUAACUCAGAGAUAAGACCUCAUUUAAAAGCAUGUGUACCAUCAACUUUUAAAGGCAUUACAACAACUUCUGAUCCAUCACUGAGAUUAUCCUUGCUCAGGGACGAGCAAGAGGUAAGCUUCGGAGAGUUUGUUGACGGUCCUUAGGUAUCAAAUAUAAUCCAAAUGCAACCGAUACCUAGACUUAGGGUUUUAUUUGACAAAAUUCCACGAGUUUUGGUGUUUGUCUAUUUCUGCAGGGGGUUAUCAGGAAAUAUGGACAAAAGGCCCACACGUCGGGUUUACAUAGAGAUAUUAACGUGCACCGCAAUUAUCCAACAUCUAGAAGAGUCCAGAUGCCACGGGAACGAGCGGGAAGCCGAUCGGGCCCGGGGGCAGGGCUCCCGCCCUCCCGCCUUGGGCGCCCGCCCUGGCCUGAGGGCCAAUCAGCUUCCACCUCACGGAUCAUGCUCCACCGACCUAUGGGAUUAAGGAAAACAUUCAUUUGGAAGUACUAUAUAAGCAGACCCGCUGGCCCCUGGAGGAGGGGAGAGAGGAAACCCUAAUUCAUUAUCCAUCUCGGGAGAAGAAGUCUCUGAUCAAGCCCUAGAGCCACCACAUCAACUAGAUCUCUAGUUUAGCAUAGCUACAAAGGAUCAGAACUAGGAGGAGUCAAUCUUCGAUUGGUUUCCGGAUGUGUCAAGAGGAUUCUUGGUAAUUCCUCUAUUGUUCUUCAAUUGUUCAUAUUUGUUCUUCAAUAUUAUGAAUAUGACUUUGUUCUACUUCAAUAUAUUGAUUAUGACUUUGCUCUACUAGUUUAUAUUUGCAAUUAUAUUGUUCUUAGUUUAUCAUAGUUAUAUGCUUGGCUUAGUUAGAUUGGAAUUAUAUACAUGUUUAGGAUCAUAUAGCGUUUAUCCAUGUGUACAGUGGGUAAAUGAUAAGUAUUGUGUACGCGUGGUGCCUAUACUGUAUUUAUCUGCGAUUGUACCCUAUAUGCCGGAUCGCGGGGUAGUUUGUGGUAGUGACAGCUCCAUUGAUUCUUAUAUAGUCCCCCUCUCAUGUAUAGGGCAGGCAGAGCAACAUUAUUAUAGGGGAGUGAUUGCUAUGUUUCUCAUCUUCCUUGAUAAUAUCACUAUACAUCCUAAUUCCAUGCUAAUGACUUGCUAGAAUAUCUGUUGAGGUGCUUAUCAUUAUUAUAUAUGUGGCUAGUUAUGCUGAUCAGAUUAAUUGUCUUUGUCACCAUUCACACUCUAUCUAUAUUUUAUGUGACAUUUAUCCCUAUAUGAAAGAGAUAGAUAAUGCUCUCUAUUACAAAUGUAAUAAUAGAUACUCAAUUCUAUAUUCCAUACCAUAAUCAACAUUAAUGUUUAGCAAUCCCUUCCCAGUGGUAAAAAUACAAAUAACGAUACCUGGAAUACUUCCCGAUUAAAAUGCUACAUCGGUAUUAAUUUGUGCGCUUGUCAUGCUUGGGAUGACAACUUGGCUUAAGUGGCAUGAGGGAUAGGUUCGGCAUUUUUGGCGCCGUUAUCAGAAUUAGAAAACUAAGUCUACUUUUGGUAAUGACGUUAAGAAUGCCCAACACGAAUUAGAUUACCUCCUAGAUGUAGAGCCUCAACCCUAGUUAGCUGAAACCAACCCUUUGCUAGACACACCAUCUACUUCAGCUAACACUUGUCUAGAGCAAGAAAGAGAAGAAAUUCUGUUUCUAGAUUUUAUGUUAGACAUAGAACCUGAUCUCUUUUCUGAAUUUGGAAAUGUUUUGAAUAAUCACUCUGUGAAGAGGCCAUAGAAAAAAUCUAGAGAGUCUUUUAAUCCCCCUAAGGAUAUUCCUUCUAGAAGAACCUCAAGAGAAUUAGUAUCUGUUAUAAGUAAUGAAUGGUUAGAAGAAUCAGAGCUUUCCACUGAAAUAAUCCGCUUAGAUUCAUCUUCUAUUCUGAUUCAUUGCAUAAUCAAUAUAGAUCAAAUAAAAGCUCUCUAUAAUCAAGUUGUGGGGAUAAAUAUCAUGUCUAUAUCUCUUGCAGAACAUUUAAUACAAGACUUGACAUUAAUCCCAACAAUAAAAUUCAUGAGAAGUCUCUCCAGACAUAUUAUUCCCAGUUUAAGAAUCCUACACAUCCUACCCAUUCAGGUAGAAGAAACCCCUGUGCAUUUAAGCAUUUAUAUAUUUAACACAUGGGACUUCGACCUGUUGAUAGGACAAUCUUUUAGAUGACUUCUCUAUGAAGGACAAUCUAGGAAGCUAAAAAUUUGCUUAGGCAAGAAACUUCAAUUCCCAUUGUACAUCUCGCACUCUUUAAACUCUAGGACCGGACCUUAUCCACAAGAAGACCUACUACAGGAACUUAGAGCUGCAUCCUUAGACUUUUUAGCCAAACCAGGAUUAGAAGAUGAAGCUAGAUUCUUCAUAGAAGAAGAUGCUAACCCUUCUGAGGAAGAACCUUUAGAUGAGUUUGCAGUACCACAUAAACUUCCUAUUGAGCUUAAACCUUUACCAACCGGUCUUAGAUACAGUUUUCUAGGUAACGUUCCAGAGUCUCCUAUCAUUAUAAUUGAUAAAUUCACUCAGGAACAAACUUUUCGUGUUAUGGAGUCCUAGAAAAACAUCACUCGGCCUUUGGAUACUCACUCAAGGACCUCAAGGGAAUUAGUCCUGCUGUUUGCACCCAUCGCAUUCUUACAGAUCCUAAUAUUCCACCAUCUAGAGAACCCCAACAUAGACUCAAUAAUGCGAUGAAAGAGGUUGUAAAGAAGGAAGUUUUGAAACUGUUGUAUGCAGGCAUCAUUUAUAUUGUGCUGCAUAGUGAGUGGGUAAGCCCUAUUCAAGUUGUACCUAAAAAGGGAGGUAUGACUGUUGUCCAAAAUGAGAGGAAUGAGUUAAUCCCUCAACACACCAUCACAUGAUGGCAGAUGUACACAGACUAUAGAAAGCUUAAUAAGGCAACUAAGAAAGAUCACUUUCCAUUGCCUUUCAUUGAUGAGAUGCUAGAGCAGUUAGCUAACCAUUCCUUCUUUUGUUUCUUAGAUGGAUAUUCAGGGUAUCACUAAAUCCUUAUCCACCCCGAUGACCAAAGCAAAACCACCUUUACAUGUCCCAAUGGAACCUAUGCCUAUCACAUAAUGUCUUUUGGGUUAUGUAAUGCACCUACUUCUUUUCAAAGAUGUAUGAUGUCUAUAUUUUCUGAUAUGAUUAAAAAGAUUAUGGAAGUUUUUAUGGGUGAUUUUUUUGUUUAUGGAAAAACUUUUGAUGAUUGUCUAGAAAACUUAGAUAAGGUUUUGCACAGGUGUGAAAAAAAGCACUUAGUCCUUAAUUGGGAAAAAUGUCAUUUUAUGGUUAGAGAAGGAAUAGUGCUAGGACACUUAGUGUCUGAAAGAGGCAUUGAGGUAGAUAAAGGUAAAAUAGAAGUGAUUGAACAUUUACCUCUGUCUGUUAAAGUAAAAGGAAUUAGGAGUUUCCUUGGCCAUGCUGGUUUUUAUCGUAGGUUUAUAAAGGAUUUUUCAUUUAUUGCUAGACCUCUUACUCGCUUAUUGGCUAAGGAUGUUCCUUUUGAAUUUGAUGAUGCAUGUUUACAAGCUUUUGAAAUUCUUAAGAAAGCACUCAUCUCAGCACCAAUCAUUCGACCCCCUGAUUGGUCUUUACCUUUUGAACUUAUGUGUGAUUAUAGUGAUUAUGCUGCGGGGGCCGUAUUAGGACAAACUAAAGCCAAAAAGCAUCAUGCAAUAGCUUAUGCUAUCAAAACUCUGAUAGGACCUCAACUUAAUUAUGCUACAACUAAAAAGAGCUCCUAGCUGUUGUUUUUGCAAUUGAUAAGUUUAAAUCUUACUUAGUGGGAGCUAAAGUAAUUAUUUAUUAUGAUCAUGGUGCUAUAAAAUAUAUUACUUUUUAAUUCUAGGGUGAAGCUCUUCGGGCAUGGAAAACUUCGAAGCAAAUGGGAAGGACCGUUCGAGGUGGUGAGUGUUGGCAUUUCUUAGCGUCACUACUAAAGAUAGACUAUAAAUCCAUCAUUAGCAAUGGCACCAGAAAUGUCAGGUGUUGGUAUACCAUAACUAUCGUUACAUCAGAGAGAUAACCCAAGGCCUUUAAUGGCGCCGCCCUUAGCAGUGCAGUCUGGUAACAAUAAUUAGGAAUGCCGGAUUGGCCAUCCUAAUCAUCCUUACUUACUUACGAUAUGCAAUGCUAUAGCAUGGCGCCAGAUAAAUGCACAGAGUUUACAAUCUUAAGUAACGGUACUUAGGUACGCCAAUCAAUAGUUCAUGAAUAUAAAUAAUAAAACUGCAAGCAAACAGAACUAUCAUUGUAGCAUUUCAACCCGUGAGUUUUGAAGGUUAUCAUAUUUAAUCCCAUAGGAAGGCGUAACAAAUGUAUCUAGCUUGGUUUGUAGCAUGAUCACUUAUUGAGAUGCAUAGGUAGACAUAGUCUAAUCAAGGGUCACGACAGGCUCUUAAAAUAUGGAUAGUGGACACACUCAUCGGGGCAACCUCAAGGAAUAAAUAGAAAAUAAGGAAAUAAAAGAAAUAAAGAACAACUACUUGAGCCGGCAUUGAUCUUAUAUAACUAUCCAAAGAAUUGUUAGUAGAAUAUCUAAUCAAUAUAACUAAAGUUAGAACUAAGUCUGAGGCUCUAGGGAGAUCCCUGCAGCUGGACAUCCAGCCGAUAGGGACUUUAUAGAACUCCUACCGGAAUACCUGAUCGUGGGGAAAUACCAGGGAUGACAGGGCUGUCACUACCCUGCCACCUACCCCUCUACCCGAAAGAUACCCGCGCAUCCGCUGAUCUCCGCAUACCUGAGCACCUCGCACGUGUAAUUGGAAACGCCUCCUAGCUUCCCAGGACCCCAACCCUUCGGAUUGACAGGCUCGGCUAAGAGUGACCAUCACAGCCCAACGAACCGUUACCCCAAUCUUAAUCCUUUGUCUAUUCAUACUAAUUCGAUGAAUGAUGAAGAACAUGGAUGAACACAUCAAGAAUAUAGCACAAGAACUAAGAACUAGUUCAUAUACUAUGAACAAGAUAUGAACACAACUAUACUCUAAUUCAAUUGCAUAAUCAUAUAAAUAAGAUAAGAACUUGCUCAUGGAGGAGUACUGAAUUGUAAUCAUACCAAGAAGCUCUAAGAUCAUCCAAGGAGACAAGCUCUCCUUGGUAGCUUUGCCUUGCUCUACUACUGAAUCUAAACUAAAGAACAACUGUAGAAAUGUGAGGUGUAUUGCACCAAAUGAUGGUGUGUGUAUUGAAUGGUGUGGAGCCAUCUAUUUAUAGCCCAACAAGGAUGGUUCAUGGUGAUCUAAAUUUGGUAGGAGGUGAAACCGUCCUAUGCAUGCCGCCAUGCAACUGCCUCAAAAAGGUGGGACCGAGUUGCCGCCACGGGGGUUGCGCCCGCACCAGGGUGCGCCCGUACCAGUGGUGGGCCCCCCUGGCCACCGCCUUCGCAUGGUCGGUUCGUCUCUGGGCCCUGAUCCUUCUCAUGGUUACGGAUGGAUCCAGUUCGGUGUUUUGGUGAGCUUUUCCAUUUAUCUUUGAUUUGCACCUUUUCUGAAUAUACUUUGUUGAAGUGCGCUUUCUCGUGUCUUUUGCGCCAUUCCACGUGUCAUACCUGAAAUUGAUAUUUGCAAGAAAACUUGUGGAAAGGUUAGUUCAAAGCCCUACCAUCUAUUUAUUUUAUUUAUUAAAAUGAUGUUUACAUUUAUAAUAUAAGGAGUACCAACAACUCCCCCACACUUGGUCCUUUGCUCGUCCUUGAGUGAUGGCACUAAAGACCAAAUGGUUUCAUCUUCCUUGUCAAAAGAAUCUACAUAUAGGUUAUUCCCAGCUUCACCUGGAUUUAUGAACUUCAGAGCGUCUACCAAGCUAUCUUGGGUAAUUGAAACACGGAACAGCCUGGAUUCAAAUCCUCUUACAUAGAAGAAACUUGGGGUUUUGCAAGAUUUUGAAAAAUAAAGAUAGCAUAUUUUUCUUGAAUGAUACUCUCAAGUUCCUCCUAAUAUGUGAGUGGUUCCUUACCAAGGCAUAAAGAGUGAUGCCUUCUUUUUGAUCAUCCUACUUCUAAAAGGCUUAUCUGGAGUUUUGGGUAGGUAUGAUGGUGGAACUUACUUACCCUGCAUAUGUUGUCGAGUCAAACCCAGGACCAUACCAGAGGGAGUGCGCCAUACCCUUAGAUUAGAAUGUGCAAGUGUGUGGAAUUUUUGGUGGAAUCCUAUCACUACUUUUAUUGCAACAUUCCUUGCAUCAAGACUCUCUUUUGAAAUGAGAUGAAAAACUUGAGAGGAUAUGGGCUAUAAAACAUUUUUUUGGACGGGUAUGAAUUUUCCCCGUUUUGCCCCUUUGGCUUUUUCUCAUAAUAAAUUAAUUAUAUAUAUAUAUAGCCCAUUCCUAUAAUUCUGAUGAAAACAAAAGAGAGCUUUAUGAUAAUAAAUGCAAGGAAUGUAUAUGAAUGCACAAUUCUCAGGGUGAGAUAUUGGCAUUUAUAUUUGGUGGAUAUAUAGCAACCCUUAGUGUAAGAGUUGACGAAAUUUUGGGUGGAUGGAGAAAGCAUGUUGUGCGUGACUUCUCAGUGUGAGAGUCGGCUUUUAUAUGAUGGGUGCAAGUGAAUUCUGAUCUUAGAGGCAUGAAACAUCUCUCGACAACGGUCCACAAAUUUGACCAAACUGAACACAGAGCAAGCAGCAUAUGUAGAAGGUUUAAUCAUGAACAAAUAUUUGGCCAUGGUAGGAAUAAAGCUUGAUCAUUCAAGAAACUUCCUAUUGAAUUUUGCGUUUUAUAAAAGAAAACCCAAGUACUUUGCAAGAACCAACAAGCAUCAUGUCAUCCUACUAUAUCGCAUACGUCAAUUACUUAGAUAAAAUGAGGUCCCUAUAACAAGUGUUCACAAAUCUCUAGGGAUAUUAGCUAAGAAUAAAAAGUAUGCAAAAACAUAUUUGAACAUAGGAGACAUGUUCGAUGGAGUACGAAGGUAACAUCAUUUUAAACAUUUCAUUUGAAAAAUUUUUUUGGGGGAAGAGGGUUUGCACAGACCGAGAUUUUUGAUUAAAUAGUCCUUCCCCCACACUUGUUUUCUUUCCUGUCAUGGUUAGUCACAAUAUAUAUAGAAAACAAGUGCACAAGAUAAAUGACUUUUUUUAUUGAUAACUUUGAAUAAGCACAUUACAUUGGAAGGGAAAAAAUAUUUGAAACAUAAAUAUUGUGAAAAGAACAAAUGUGCCUAAACAAAGAUUCAUGCAGGAGGUGUGGUCUAAAGAUCUUCAACAAGACAACCAACACCUAAGGCUUCAGUGAACUUUCUAAGUUUAGUAUUAAACUUGAAGCGAAACCUAUUAACAUCAUCACUGAGGUUCCUAAUCUCAGUGUUCUUUUCCUCUAGGUCAUCUUCUAAAACCCGUAACUCAGCACGUAGGCUAGCUUGCUUAGCUAAAAGCUCGGCUAUAAUAUUGGGAUCAUCUUCUUCAUCGCUGCUCUCGUAUUGUCCUGCACGACGCUUGAUUGACUGCUGUGGCAAGUGCCUCCUGAUCCUAGGGAGAGUAGUGGAUGAUUCCGUCUUCUUGGCCUUGCCACCCAUCUUUCUACCAGCAUGAUUGCCUUGCCUAUCACCACUAGGGGCUUUUCUCUUAAGUCCUAUGUUGCUAGUGGAUGAACGGGCAGUAGCGGGUAUGUUGGCAGUGCUAUUGGUGGGCGCUUUGUGGUUUGCUGGUAACAACGCUAAUGGCUUUCUCUUCUCAACAUAUACCUCCUUGCUAGAACUCUCUUGGUAAGGUGCUAUGUCUAGAUUGGCUAUGGUCUUGAGAGCAUUGAUCAGCGAGAGGGCAUAGCUAGACAUGGUCACUACUGAAGAAUGGGAGAGCUUAGCAAUCUUCAUAAGAGGGAGAUGAGAAAUGGUUGGUGUGAGAAGAGAAGAGGCCUAUGGAGGAUUUUAAACGCAGUCUCUGAUCUUGAAACAACUUGAUCAUAACCAAGGAUGUGAUGCUAAUUAGUGUAGAAGAGGAAGGGAAAAAGAUUGGGGCUGAUUGGCGGACCUGGGGGUGUGCCUGCACCAGGGUGCGGCCGCACCACUGGGUCCACCAGUCGGCCUCAGUCUUUCAGGUAUUUCUUUCCCUCUCUGAGUAUUUCGCGAUCCUGGUUACGAUCAAUCGUGAUGCACAGUGGAAUCAGAGUGAUAGUGUAAGUGCAAUCAAGCCUAUUGUGGGUUUUGGCGUUGAUGACUACUGAAUUAGGGAACUAAUGAGAUUUGCUGAGAUGACAAGCAGGGAAUAUAGCAAAGAUGUUGUUGAAUACCAUGGAGGAUCCCCCAUUUCUAAAGGAUGGCUCUCCUAGCUCCAAAGGAGGUUUAAUUCAUUUUCGGUUUGAAUUUGAGUAUAGGAAAAGCUGUACUAUAAAGAGGGACUCCAAGUUUGUUGAUCAAAUUGUGAACCAAAGGCUCAAAAGCUCAUCAACAUCCUCAGACCCAAGCCUAUCCAGCAUAUCUUUCUCUCCACACUUUGGUGUUUUCAGGCUGGUUCAGGCAAGGGCGGCACUGUCGCCCUACCCUGUGACAGUUGGAGAGCUGGGUAUAAAUACCCUUUCAGACCAUCUCAAACGGUAACUUUCUCGUCUUCCUCGCUCCCAACCAUUGCAAACUAACCAGAGCUCACUUCUCUCUCCCUCCAUUGUUGCUCCUCAAGCCCCCAAGCCAUUCCUUGAUUCCAACCAUCAAAACUUGAGGGAAAAGGCAGCAAACUUCGAUUGGAGAGCAGAUCCAUUGAUUCCCAGCGUCAAAAAGAGCUUUUGGUUCACGUUUGGCCGGCUGCCUUGAGUUUGUUACUCUUCGAGCUUGCUCCUAGCUGGCUAGGCGUCGCCCUAGAGCUUGCCAACGUGUGUGGCAGCCAAGGGAAGGUUUGUAAGGUUACCCUUGCAGCUAAUACAUUCUUCACUCUUUGCAAGGGGUAAAAUCCUUGCUUUGAGAACGAGGAGAAGGUAAGCCUGUGUGGCUAAGCCGGUCCUAGUGUGGGCGCCUCAACAACGUGGAGUAGGCCAAGCCUUGUUGUGGCAACAGCUGAACCACGGUAAAAAUCGUGUGUCUUGUAUGCUUUCACUUGUGUAGGAGUUUGUGUUAGGAUUUGAGGCCGAUCUACUUGGUGGGGAGGCUCCAGCAUAUUCUAGCCACAUACUUGUGCUCUAACAUCUUGCAGGAAGCUUGGAAAUUUAGUCGAUCUAACUUUCCCUGGGUAAACUUUGAAUCAAUUCAGUUAAGCUUCUGUCUGUUUUUCUGUUGAGGCCGGCAGUGCCGCCCUAGGAGGGCCUCACUGCCGCCCUUGCCUGUGUGACUGAUAAACUUUGCUGAAAAAGUUUGAACAGGCCUAUUCACCCCCCUCUAGGCCACUUCCUGUACGUCCAGAGAUCCUACAGAUAGUGUGUGGGAUAGAGUUUUGAAUUUUGAAAACUCUCUAAAAGCUAUCACACUAUCAUGCAUGUAUGAGUGAUUGAUUCCCAUGAUCACAAAGAUUCAAAAGUGAAGAAAAGAUCAUAGAGGCAAUAUGGAGUACUCAUAAAUACAACAAAUGCACCAUUUAUUCAAAACAUAAAUAGAAAGAAUUUAUUCAAUAUAAAUAAAUAAAUAAGUCAAAAUAAAAUAUAUAUUUAUAUUUUUUUAUAAGUAAAAACUUACCUAGGGAUAACUUACCGAUUUACCUUCGGCAAGGGCUCAUCUUUAUUGUCCAUUGAGCGGGACUCUUCUCCCAUUACUUCUUGCAUGAUGAUGACACAUCCGUCUUGGGAGGAGUAGACGGUUGCACCUGCUUGGGCCUCCACUUUAGCAGUAUCACCUUUGGAGGUGUGGAAGUUUGUUCAACCUUUUGCUUUGGUUUCCACACCUGCUUCGGUUGUGAAGGCUUGGGGACUUCGUCCCUCUUUUCAUUCUUUUUAGGAGCUAUUUUCUUUUUUUGUUCUUUAUUAUUUUUCUUAGGAUCCACCUUUUCUGUUGGCUCUGGCUUUUUCUUAGAUAUUUUUGUAUUUUUAAUAAGUUGAGGCUGGAUCUCAACCUGCCUGAAGCCUUGGGGGUUUGGCCCAUAGAGGAUGCGUAUCAUGUUGCACUCUUGUUGACGGUGUGGCCUGAACUCAAACUUCUCUUCUUGGCCAUUAAUGUUGAAGCGGAUUUCUCCAGCCCCAACAUCAAUCUGUGCUCCAACUGUACUCAAGAAUGUUCUUCCUAGAUUAGUGGUGUUUCUUUAGUGAGCUCCAUGUUGAGCACCACAAAAUCCACUGGAACAUAGUAUCCUCUGAUCUUGAUAGGGAUGUCUUGAGCAAUCCCUACUGGGUACUGGACUGACGAGUCUGCCAACUGGAGUGUCAUGGUGUUGGCUCCAAGUUGGUGAAGUUCAACGUGUCAAAGACUGAUUUCGGCGUGACGCUCACACUCGCCCCCAAAUCACAUAGGGCGUGGUCGAAUUGCUGGGCCCCAAUUGAGCAAGAGAUUGUGGGGCACCUAGGAUCCUGCUUCUUCUCGGGCAGCUCAUUGAGUAUAGCUGUGCUACAUUCUUCUGUGAGCUUGACAACUUUAGUGGACAGCAAUGGUCGCUUCUUGUUGAUGAUGUGCUUGAUGAACUUGGAGUAGGACGGAAUAUGCAAGACAUCCAUCAAUGGUACACUGACGUGCGUCUUUUUGACCAUUUCCACGAAGCGGAGGAACUGCUCAUUUUUGUCCUCCUGUUGCUACGGCGCCCUUCCUGUCUUGUGGUUAGGAUAAGGGGGAUCACGAGUGGUCUUAGCCCCUCUCGUGGUCACCGCAUUUACAAUUUCCACAGAAUCAGGAGAAACAAUAGCUUUAGCGGCUGAAGCAAGAUGAGCUACUUUUAACUCGAUCUUCUUAUUAAAAGCUAGCUGAUCUCUAACAGAAAGGGUCAGGCCAUCAAGCUUUGUAUUUAUGUUGACAAACAUUUGAUCGUUUUCAGAAAGCUUUUUAACAAGAUUUUCAUUUAUUUUGGCCUGACCUAUGAUCUUUCAGCGAAGGAUGGGAGGAAAUAAACUGGAGUAAUUACCUUGGGGGCGGUUCUGGUUAUUCCGCCCAUUACCUUGCUGUUGUUGGCGGAACCCGUUGUUUAUGAACGAUGCGUCCUCCUGGGUUCUAGGGCAAUUGAUCCCCAUGUGGCCAACAUUCCCACAUUCCUCACACGUUAUGCGUGAGUCGAUGGCUUGGACAGUGCUGGUGGUAGGAUUAGUGUCCUGUCCGUCCAAUCUCUUCAUUAGUAGGUCUAUUUUUGCGGCAAGCAUAUCCGUCUCCUUCAUGGUAUGCAUGCCUUUUUGCGUUUUGUGUCCCUCUCCCCAACUCUAGUUGGCUACCAUCUUCUCAAUUAAUGUCGUAGCAUUAUCGAUGGUCAGGGAGAGGAACGCGCCUCCAGCAGCGGCAUCGACGUGCCCCUUAGACAUGGGCGUGAGCCCCUCAUAGAAAUUCUAAAGCACGAGCCAAUCUUCCAUCCCGUGGUGGGGGGAGGCCCGGAUGUACUCCUGGAGCCUUUCCCAAGCCUCAGGAAUGGAUUCGAGUGAAGUCUGCUGGAAGUUUGAUAUCUUUCCCCUCAUAGCAUUUGUUUUGCUCAGGGGAAAAAUUUCACGAGAAACACCGCGGAAUAUUUGUCCCACGUGUUGACAGCUUCCAUGCUCUGGUAGAACCAUUGCUUCGCCUUCCCCUAGAGGGAGAAGGGAAACAAGCGGAGCUUGACACUUUCAGGUGCGACAUCCUUGAUGAUGAUGGUUUCACACAUCUCAAUGGAGUUUUGUAGAUGCAUCUUUGCAUCCUCACUUGGCAAACCACAGAACUGGUUUGCCUGCACCAUCGUGAGUAGGCCACUGCGAAGCUCAAAGUUUCCAUUUCCAGUGCUGACUGCGGGCCCAACGGGCACAUUGGCAACAGCUGGGGUGGAAUAGUCGCGGAGUGACCUAGCCAUGGUGGUUGAAAUGGAUGGUGUGGGGGUGAUUGGUUCGACUGUCGGCAGCGUGGCAGAGGAAGAAACGGCACGAGUCCAUUUCUUCCUUAGGAGUGCCUCUGGAUUGCUGUUGAAGUUUGCCGGCAAGUUGAAACCACUCAUACACUAUCCUGUUUUCAUACCAAUAAAAAGAGGAAGAAAACAGCAAAGAUUGGCCUGCUUAAACUAUGGCUACCAAUGCUUAUUUUGUAAUCAAUGCUAAAUGCCAAAGCUAGAUGUUUGCAUUGUUCUUUGCCCUCCCCGGCAACGACGCAAGAAAUGCUUGUUGGCAUUUCUUAGCGUCACUACUAAAGAUAGACUAUAAAUCCAUCAUUAGCAAUGGCACCAGAAAUGUCGGGUGUUGGUAUACCAUAACAAUCGUUACAUCACAGAGAUAACCCAAGGCCUUUAACGGCAUCGGCCUUAGCAGUGCAGUCUGGUAACAAUAAUUAGGAAUGCCGGAUUGGCCAUCCUAACCAUCCUUACUUACGAUGUGCAAAGCUAUAGCACGGCGCCAGAUAAAUGCACAGAGUUUAUAAUCUUAAGUAACGGUACUUAGGUAUGCCAAUCAAUAGUUUAUGAAUAUAAAGAAUAAAACUGCAAGCGAACAGAACUAUCAUCGUAGCAUUUCAACCCGUGAGUAUUCAAGGGUUAUCAUAUUUAAUCCCAUAGGAGGGCGUAAGAAAUGCAUCUAGUUUGGUUUGUAGCAUGAUCACUUAUUGAGAUGCAUAGGUAGACAUAGUCUAAUCAGGGGUCACGGUAGGCUAUUAAAAUAUGGAUAGUGGACACACUCAUCGAGGCAACCUCAAGGAAUAAAGAGAAAAUAAGGAAAUAAAAGAAAUAAAGAACAACUACUUGAGCCGGCAUUGAUCUUAUAUAACUAUGCAAAGAAUUGUUAGUUGAACAUCUAAUCAAUAUAACUAGAGUUAGAACUAAGUCUGAGGCUCUAGGGAGAUCCCUGCAGCCGGACAUCCAGCCGAUAGGGACUUUACAGAACUCCUACCGGAAUACCUGAUCGUGGGGGAAUACCAGGGAUGACAGGGCUGUCACUACCCUACCACCUACCCCUCUACCCGAAAGAUACCCGCGCAUCCGCUGAUCUCCGCAUACCCGAGGACCUCGCCCGUGUAAUUGGAAACGCCUCCUAGCCUCCUGGGACCCCAACCCUUCGGAUUGACAGGCUCGGCUAAGAGUGGCCAUCACAGCCCAACGAACCAUUGCCCCAAUCGUAAUCCUUUGUCUAUUCAUACUAAUUCGAUGAACGAUGAAGAACAAGGAUGAACACAUCAAGAACAUAGCACAAGAACUAUGAACUAGUUCAUAUACUAUGAACAAGAUAUGAACACAACUAUACUCUAAUUCAAUUGCAUAAUCAUAUAAAUAAGAUAAGAACUUGCUCAUGGAGGAGUACUGAAUUGUAUUCAUACCAAGAAGCUCUAAGAUCCUCCAAGGAGACAAGCUCUCCUUGCAAGCUUUGCCUUGCUCUACUACUAAAUCUAAUCUAAAGAACAAGUGUAGAAAUGUGAGGUGUAUUGCUCCAAAUGAUGGUGUGUGUGUGUGUUGAAUGGUGUGGAGCCAUCUAUUUAUAGCCCAACAAGGACGGUUCAGGGCGAUCUAAACUUGAUAGGAGGUGAAACCGUCCUAUGCAUGCCUCCAUGCAACCGUUUGAAAAAGGUGGGACCGAGUUGCCGCCACGGGGGGUGCCCCCACACCAGGGUGCGACCGCACCACUGGUGGGCCCCCCUGGCCACCACCUUCGCGUGGUCGGUUCAUCUCUGGGCCCUGAUCCUUCCCGUGGUUACGGAUGGAUCCAGUUCGGUGUUUUGGUGGGCUUUUCCAUUUAUCCUUGAUUUGCGCCUUUUCUGAAUACGCUUUCUUGAAGUGCGCUUUCUCGUGUCUUUUGCGCCUUUCCACGUGUCAUACCUAAAAUUGAUAUUUGCAACAAAACUUGUGGAAAUGUUAGUUCAAAGCCCUACCAUCUAUUUAUUUUAUUUAUUAAAAUGAUGUUUACAAUUAUAAGAUAAGGGGUACCAACAGUGAGCUCAUCAUCGCAUGGAGCCGUCACACUUCGCAACAACAAAGGUAUGUUAUUCAAGGUAAAUGGUCAAUGCUUUAAAUUAUUUUUAGAGCCCAACAAUGAAUUAGAGGACGUAGACGUAAUUACUUUCUUUCUCAAUUAAAAUAUUUAGGCCCGACCAUUUUAAUCGGAGAAACUCAAAUUUUUGUGAAUAAAAAUAUAAUUAAUAAAGUAUACGAAAAAGUUGAGGCAGAGCGGGCUCGAAGGACGGGCGGCCGCCCAAAACCCUAGGGGCGUCUCCCCCGAGGCCAUUCGCCGCCGCCUUUCUCCAUUUACAUCUUAAGACCUUCCUUGUUUAUAAAAAGUGAAUCUUUUGAUUUUCUUCCCAUAUCUCGUCAUUUCACCUUCUAAAAAUACUUUUCUAGACUUUAUAUAAGCAACCCAUGCCUAUGGUGUAAUCUCAUCCCAUCAUAGCUCUUCUCUUCUCUUGCUUAGAAGCUAGCAACGCCUGUCUACUCAGCAACGGCUAAUAAAAAUUUAGAGAGGAGAAUGAUCCGCUUUGUGAUUGAUCCCAGCACCAUCCCUAGAGAUGAGCCUGAGUGCAAAGCUAUCAUUCCCAUAGAUGAGCCUAUCCAUUUAUCCAUCAUACCCCCAAAACCACGUUGCUAUGGAUGCUCUUUUUUUGCUCAGCCCAUUCGCACCAAGCCUCUGCUCUUGGAAGGAGCUCCAUCGAAGGGCCCCUUUACCGGUAGGAUCUAAUAUCCUAUCACAGAAGCGCAAUGAGAAGCUAUUAAGAGUGAACACCAACCGAAAGGGAGAGGUCGUCUGCGCCUAAUACACCACUGGCGAUCAUACCUACUUUGAGGGGGUCCAUGCUCAUCUGGUUAAAGUCAAAUUCAUCCCCGAAAGGAAGCUUCGAAGACCGCCAUGGCCGUAGCUGAGACUCUGCGGAAACGCUGCAAGAUGAUGGUAGACUUGGAGAAGGAGCUAGCUGAGCAGCGCACAAUAAUAGCCUCACUAGAAGCCUAUCAACAUGUCCAAAGUAGAUGCAUCACUUACAGCGACAUGAGAGUGUCAACGCUAGAGCAUGAUUCCACCGCUCUAAAGGAGAGGGUGAAAGCCCUAGAGCACCCUAAGAAGUAGGCUCGAUUUGUCUUAGCAUCCGAUAGGGUGAGUGUUAGUCUUACUAAAGUGUGUUUGAUUUCUAAAGUUUGCUAUUGUAAUAAUAAGCCCUACACGAAGAUGAAUUAAAUGAUUAUUAUAUGUCUUGUCUCUCUUUUGUCUCCACCAUGUUGUGAAUGAAGGAUAAUAGGAAACCAGUGUAGGGGAGGCACCCGCCAAUCAAAAUGAAUGAAUCCUCGCAAAAUGAUAACAAUAUUGGAGAAGACAUGAUACGAAGACCACACUCAAUGAAGUUGACCCCGAAGGGCCACUAGCCAGGGGCAGCCGCCCCAUUCUCUUUGGGCGCUCGCCCAAAGGGUGGAGAACCCUGGUCUCCGCUUCGAACUACGGUUAGGUAUAAUUUCCCUAUGUUAUAAAUUGUUAUUAUUGCUGCUGUUUCAAUUUCGAAUAAAAUAUCUUUAGUUAAAUCACCCUAUGCUUCUCCUCUGUAGCAAGAAUUAAUAUCCUACUAGAGCCCUGCAUGAUAGAUAUAAACUAGCUCAUAAGCUACUUGCUUUGUAUAGAGUUUUGUCAAACCUUAUUGACCUAUGUCGAGAGGAUUAUCAUACCCCUAAGAUCAAGAUCAUGUACACCCACAUAUAUCUGCCAUUGCUACAGUGGGAAUGCGCACAAACAUGUCUUUUCAUCCACUAAAAAUGUUUUACUCCUACACUGAGAGGAGACACAAAAAGAGUCUUAGUAGGAAUAAUUGCUCUAAAUUCUUUAAAAAGUCUGCCUCAAUAUUUUCUGGUUACAGAAGGAGGUAUGAGGCUAUGCAAAAUAAAAGUAUUGGAAAAAAGAGAGAAGAGAAAAAGGACAAGUGUCCUAGAAAGAAAGAGAAUAAAAGAUAUCCCAUACCAUCCUGUACAAAGACCAUCAGUGCUUCAGAUGAAGUAAGACAUUUUCAAAAGAGCAAUGUAGAAUUAGGAUUAGACACUAUAUAUUCCACACACACGCACUUCUUGAUCUAAGAGUAUGCUAUUCUCCUCCAUUGAUCUGGGUUUUGACUUAGCAAAAUAUGCAAGGUAAGUAUGUUAUUUCCUUGAAUUACAUUUAACUCCGUAUAAGCCUAUAUAGAGUAGGAUACAUAUGAUGCUUAUAUCAUACAUGCUUUGGUAAGUUCCACAAAUACCACCUAUAAUGAGUGAUUCGAGUGUGCUACAUGAUGGAGAAGGGUAAGCUAAGUUUUUAUUUGCAAAAAUAUUAUAAAACUCCAAGUGGUAGGGCUGAAGGGAAUUCACUCUAUUUUGUACUAUUCCAUCCUCAACUUCCCAAAGUUUUAUGGUAGACACUUUGAAUCCCACAGUACAGGUAUGACUAGGAAUAAAUCUAAUGAUGUCUUGGUUUGAGGUUAUGAUUAAAAUGAUCUAUCCUUUUUACUUGAGGACGAGUAAAAGAUAAGUGUGGGGAAGUUUGUUGAUGGUAGAUAACUCCUAAUUUUAACCAUCAACUAAACAUGAAAAAGGACCUAUUUGCAAGCACUCAGUAGAUAUAGGGUUAUCACUAACAGAAUUCUAGGAGUUUUGGUGAUUGUCUCUUUCUAUAGGGGGUUACCGGAAUAAUAACAAAAGAAGGUCCAUAUGUCAGAUUUACAUAUAGAGAAGACCCGAACGUCAACUCAGGAACAAUUUAAAAGACUCCAGGAGCCACCACCUGAAACCUAGGCCCACUUGGAAGCCACCCAAGGGAAGGCACCCCUGCCAGGUGGGGUGGCCGCUCGGGGCUCUCCACCAAUCGGAGUGAACCUCGCGGAUCCUGCCUCCACCGACUUUGAGGAUUAAUCUUAAGUGCAUGUUUAAGUCUGUUUGAUCCAAGGGUUGUGGUGAUUCCUAGGGGGCUAUAAAUAAAGACCCCGACCCCCUUGUAUCGAAUUCUAAAACCCUAAUUCAUAUUUUCUAAAGAGAGUUAGACGGAGAGGGGUGUCUCUAUAGGGUGAUAGCAACAAGAGAGAUUGAGAGCGUAUAGGGUGAAGAUAGGAGUUGAGGAAGCCUGGCCUAUCAGUGCCUUCUUCUUCGUAUCUUUAGGAUCAAGUGUCCUAACCUUUAGCUUGGUUCAAGAAUCGUUUGGCAAUUCAACUUUUAAUACUAGUACGUUAUUGUUUUUAUUGUUCUUUAGUUUACGAGUUUAUUUUAUUCACUUCGCAUAGGAAAUAAAGUAAUUAUUCAUAGCGUAAGCGUGGUGCUUGGGCUAGGAAUACUUGUAGAUACUCCCUAUUUGGCUGGUUUGUUGUAACUUUGGGGGGAAGUGACAAUCCUCUCGGGUCUCUGUAAUCCACGUCCCUUCAGGAGGUAAGGUAGGGUAUAUGGUACUAGGGUUAAGCACUCUUUGAGGUGUCUCUUUUCUCUAGGUACUCCCCUUAGAAUAAUAUCUAUACACUCACCAUAGGUUAGAAGAAGACUAAAGAAAGAGUUCUUUGUAUAUUGCUUAUAUCUCACUAUCUUGUCUUGCAACCCGUGGGUUGUAGGUAAGGUAAAGGUUAGUCUUUUGCACGCUUUCUCCUAGUGGUAAAAGAUAAAUAUGAUACUCUGGACUUAUUUCCUGAGUGAAGUGCUCACCGAUAUCCAUGCGCUUGCAGAUUAUUUCUCUUUGAUUCUAUCGUGUGCGUAACUAAUAUCAACAGCACAUAUGGCCACUAGGGUCCACAUCAGUGCAUGAGCCUGUGUGGGGCCAUGCCAAGUGGAGUGGAGAGGGGCGAGACCUCACACUCGCAGCGCCACUGAGGAGGCUAUCGUGGGGCAGCACGGAGUUUGCACGCGUGCUCGCAGGUGGGCACAGCCGUCACCAAAGCUGGGCAGGUCCGCCACGUUGUGUGUGUGGCCGGGCCACUGGGAGCAUCGUUCGGAGGUGGCCGUGAGCCUAGGCAUGUCCACACACGAGGUUGCAACAUUAGGGCGGGCUAGCCCCCCUGGAGAUGGGCGGGUGCUGCUAUGACAGGCCGCCUGGGUCUUAGAGCCAAGGCAGGCGGGCGCAGGUGGUCGGGAGGCCACCAUGUGCUAUCCGGAGGUUGCGCACUUGCCCGCCUAGGAACUGGCCGUCGAGGCAUAGGGGUAACCGCACUGUAGGAGGGACCGUGCGGGGCUACGAGACGGCUAGGUGCCACCUCGCCAUGGUGCGGUGCUGAGGCCACACGCAGACCAGGCGCCUUGGCCGCAUGGAGGCAGCCGUGGCUAGCAACAACAGCACCACCUCCUCCUCCCCCUUUCCCUAGUGACAUUCUCAGGCUAGUCGAACGUGUCCCUGAGCUAAUGGCCCAUAGGGGACAGUGAUCCACGUGCGACAGAGAUGCGGGAGAAGAGUAGGCAAUGGUGGCAGUGGAGCAGUGAGUGCCUAGUCAACAAAGUACGCCGGCAGCUGAGUCGAUAUCGACAUCCGUGUCGUGAUGGUCGGUGGAGACAGACGAAAUGGAGGCGGACUGUGUGCAGCCCGCUCGGAAGACGCGUUAGCGUCAGGUAACGAAUCGAUGACAACAACUCUAUGCCCAGUGACAGCCAUUGCUGGCUAGCCACCAUGGAUGGUGGCGGUGGUGGGCAUGGGUUGUUGUCGUGGAGCAAGCACCUUGGCCAGGCUAGAGCCGGCAAUUGGAGGAUCUGUAUGGGGGACGCCGGUGGAGCUGGCACUGGAGGCACCGACGGUGUCGAUGCCCUCGGAGGUAGUGCCACGGGCAGAGCCGUGGGUUAUGCCGUGGGUAGAGCCAUGAAUGACACCACCAAAUGCCAUAACAGAGGAGUGACAUUUGCACAUCGGUAAGCUCCAAAGUAGCGUCGUACAGGGAAACACUUGGGGUUCCUAUCGAGGUCGCAGCGCUCGCCUAGAAGAUGGUAGCCGCGAGGCUUGCCUUGGAAUUCCCAAACAUCCUACAGGAGUCCUGCCUGAAGGCAAUUGUUGCCGAAGUGGAUGCCCAAGGUACGGGCAUGGUUGAUCACCAUACAGAUGAUCUAGAGGACAAGGGAAGCCAUAGAGGCAAAAUUACGACGAGGUGGUGGCAUUUUACCACGGAGGUGAAAGUCGAUCCCUGAUGAUGUUCGCACAAACUGAGCUAUUCCACUCUGGGGAAGGGGAGAGCGAGAUGAUGAUAACAUGUUGCGAGUCGAAUGUAAAGUACGAGAACAGAGAGAAAGCAAUAAACUUGGGUGUGUGUUUCUUUAUUCAUUGAUCAUUAUUUAUACAGGUCGAGGGGGAUGGGAAAACUCUCCCCCCUAAUUAAGUAAUCGAGUCAAUGAUCGGAUCAUGGGGCCAUGCCCGUUGGGGAACCAAUCUUCAAGGACAUGUACGGAGUCAUGGAGGAAAGACCCGUUGGGGAACCAGUCUUCAUGGAGAAUCUUCCUUCCACCUCGGAGCCCUCACGGUAGACCCUAGGGAAGUAUCCAAUGAGAUCAUCCAAAUUUAACCGUAACAAAAAACUCCACCACUGGACUUUCUUUUCCAAAUCCCCCUCUCUUUAACAACCCCCACCCCUCUUUGAACAUUCUCGCGCGGUCCCCUAGCGGAGCCAUAGGACCCCUCUCCCCCGAUGGCAGCGCCGGAAUGGCUUGCAACGGAGCUCGCAUGGCAUGACCGUUAGUGGAGCUCGCACAGCCGGCAGUGACGCUCGCAUACUAGUGAGCAAGCAAGCAAUAAAGCACAAGGUACACUAGAACUAGUGAACUAAUUAUGCUACAUAAACAUAAUUAGAGAACAACUACUUAGAUACACAAGAUAAUUAGCACAAGUAUGAACAGGUAAAUACAAGCUACUCCCUCUGUCCCAAAAAAUUGAUGUUUUAGGAUUUUUAAGAUAGAUUAGUAGUGAAGAGAAAUGUCCCUAAUACCCUUGGUUUGUUACAUAUCAUUCCUUUUAAAAAGGGAUGUUAUGUGGUUUAGGUCUCUAAUAAAGACAUGCUCCAUGCAAGCAUGCAGAGAUCCCGUGCGGAUGACGGCACAUGUGUGUGGAUAAGGAAAUGCGCAGAUGUAUUGCACAUGCGAUGGAUUCUUAUGUGGCCCACACCCUUGUCUAAAACUCAGAACAUCAUUUUUUUCUAGGACAAAUUUUAAAGUAUAUAAUUUCAUUUAUUUGGGAUGGAGGGAGUAGUAUAGAGGAUGCAAAUCAAGUAGGAUACAUAAGUUGACAUAGACAUUUUUAUCAGGUUCAGUGGUUUGCCAACAACUUAAUCCCUGUUGAGGCAAGUCCAGUUGGGUUGCUGCCAAUCUUUCUAAGUGGCAAGGCCGCAAGAUUGCACUCAUCUCUCAAGGUGUGCUCCAAAGUGAGGUCUAGAGCACUUUAUCUAGUCGGACCACUUGACGCUCUUCGCGCCUUGCUCUACUAGUCAUAAUUGCACUUUGCGAGCACAACACACUUCACAAAAAGUGAAAAACAUAUGUGUAUAUGUUAUGUUGUUCGAAAAGUCUCUUAUAUAAAAAUUGUGCCAAAAAAUAUAUUGAAAUGGUAUUAUGAUAAGUCUGUCGGCUGACAGGUAUGAACGCAAAUAGGGUUAUAAAGGUAAUAUAGAGCCAACAGGCCAGACAGGUCUAGUGGGAUACUACAUAGCCAUGGUGAUUGUACAUUUAUCUGGAUUUUUUCCAGAAUUUUAGGGUACACACACAUGUGAGUGAGCGUUCAGUGCUGCUGCGUUUUUCUUGCGCACUGGAGGUUGCCUUCCAAUCUUUUGUUUGCGCCUAUGUAGUGUGAGUGGGGAGUUUUCAGUGUUUGUUGACCGGCAACCCAUCACUGGGGUACAAGGGACGAUAUUCGGAGGGCUUCAACGUACUCAGAACUCGGCGGUUAACAUGAAGAGGCGAAUGGUUUGUACAGGUUUAGGGUUUACGUCCAGCCAACAUUAGUAUUUUGUAUUGAAUUGAUCAGUAUGAUUGUGUGUCAUAGCCUUUCUCCCGAUCUAGAGAGCCCUGCCCUCCUUUAUAUAGCGCCAAAACAGGGGCAGAUCUGUGGGUAUGCCAAGUAGAUACCCUGCGAUCCCAGAAACUUUUCAAUAUAUACGUGUAUUUUUUGAAAAAAACAAAAAAACUUAGCAGGAGAAGGCUAGCCCUAGCCCAGCAGCCAGCGUCCGCUGGCUUGCAUGCAACAUGACCACGCAACCCCCCCUAGUAGAUGACCCUGUCACGUGACAAGAGGCCCACGAGGCUCCAUGCAGCCAUGGCCACGUUCCCUUCGAUCAUGUCCUACAAACGACCGCAGGACAUUGACGCGUCGCGUGACUGUCCGCUGCUGUUAUCCUAUUCCUCGUCUCAUUGUCCACACGGUGUCGCCAAGGAUGAACUGGCCACACUGCAGCAGGUGCACAGGAGAUGGAGGCAGGCACGUGCCACUACAAUACAUGCGCUUUCGCUAUUGUCUUAGAUUCGCUUAGUAUGAAACCUCGUCGAUUGGUACUCGCUAUUGUCUUAGAUUCGCUUAGUAAGAUUUAACUUUUUUCCUCGGUGUCUUUUGCUCUUCGUCAUCUCUUAGAUUUUGUUGUCUACUUAAUUUCAUUGCUAUUUGCUAAUGUCAUCAAAUCAUUGCUCGUGCAGGUACACUGAGAUUGGAGAUUUGCCCCAACAUCAGAGACAAUCUAGAUUGAUAUCAUGUCAGUGUUUUUGUAGUUGCAUGUGAAAAAUUGAUCUAUAAGAGAUCAUUAUUUUUAAUUAUGUGACAUUGUAUUUUUAGUAUUAUAAAGAGAGCGGGGAGCCGAGGAUAUUGUAUCUCAUUUGUAGAAGCAUGCAUAAAGAAGGUGUCAGCUAGUGCUGCUUUAAAUCCUUUCCCUAAUUGGGAGUCUCAUACUCUCUUUUAUGUCUAUAUUUAAAAUACCAGUAUGAUGUUUGAAUUAUUCAUAUUAUAAUUUGUGUAUGUUUUAAAUUUAAUCAUUGAAUUUAACACUUGUCUUGUUAUUUGGUGUGAAUAGACUGAAUAAUAUUAAGAAGUUCACUUAUUACUGAUGUCGAGGGCGUAAAUAAGAGGUACCCAACAAACAGUCAUAACGGAAAGAUCCAAAGACAAGUCAAGGAUCAAACUCGACAAUCCAGUACAAACACAGGUUCGCCAAAGCCGCGGCUCGACCAAUAACGGGAUAUCAACCCUAGCCUCGAAUACGGAAAUACGGUCGAGCGAAUGAUCCAGGGCUCGAUAAUCAGCGACUGUCAAUUACGGAAAGGGCGUCGAGCGAAUCGGCGAGCCUCUAGCGCAAAAGCGUUCCCCCGCCGCCUGUACCCCUCACAAAUCACUCUUGGUAUGAAUAAUAUUCAAUCUUCUUUCAUGAGCAAGUUCUAUUUAUCUUUAUAUGAUUAUGCAUAUGAACUAGAGUAUGGUUGUGUUCUUAUCAUGUUCAUAGUAUAUGAACUAGUUCUUAGUUCUUGUGCUAUGUUCUUGAUAUGUUCAUCAUUGUUCUUCAUUGUUCAUCAGAUUAGUAUGAUUGGGUUUAGAAUUAGGAAUGGGAUGAUGGUUCACUGUGCUAUGAUGGUUGCUCUUAGCCUAGCCUGUCACUCUGAAGGGGUGGGGCCCACGGGGGUUAGGAGUUCUUUCCAAUUACGUGAACAUGGUGUUCAGGUAUGCAGGAAUCAGUGGAUGUGCGUGUAUCUUUCGGGUAGAGGGUUAGGUGGCAGGGUAGUGAUAGUUAUGUAAUCCUUUGCAUUCUCCCACGAUCAGGUAUUCCGAAAGGAGUUCUAUAAAGUCUCUAUCGGUUGGGUAUCCAGCUGCGGGGAUCUCCCCUCAUCUCAGGCUUAGUUCUAACUCUAUUUGUUGCUAAUUAGAUGAUCCACUAACAGUUCUAUGCAUAGUUAUAUGUGACCCAUGUCUGCUCAAGUAGAUUUAAUUCUUUAUUCUUUAUUUAUUAUUUCUCUUAUAUUUUAACCUUGAGGUUGAUACAAUGUGUGCCCACUAUCUUGAAUAUCAUGUUUAUUCCUAUUUACACUAUGUCUACCAAGCAUUCAAUAAGUAAUCAUGUUUACACCAUGUUUGAUCCCUUUGCCUUCCUACGGGAAUUAUAAAUUCAAAACCCUUAAAUACUCACAGGUUGAAAUGCUACAAUGAUAGUUCUGUCCACCUGCAGUUAUAUUACUUCUUCAUUCAUGGACUAUCGAUUGGCGUACCUAAGUAUCGUUAUCUAAGAUUGUAAUCCUUGUGCACUUUCAAGGGUAGUGCCACAGCUUUGCAUAUCGCAAGUAAGGAUGGUUAGGAAGGUCAAUCCAGCAUUCCUAAUUAUUGUUACCAGACUGCACUGCUAAGGCCGGCGCCCUCGAGUUGUCAUGGGUUAUCUCUCUGAUGUAGCGAUAGUUACGGUAUGCCAACACCCGACAUUUCUAGUGUCAUUGCUAAGGAUGGAUCUAUGGUCUAUUUUUAGUAAUGACGCUAAGAAAUGCCAACAAGCAUUUCUGGCGCCGUUGCCGGGGAAGGCAAAAAUCAUACUGGCAUAAACAUUGAUUGCAUAAUAAGCAUUGGUAGCCAUAGAUUAAGCAGGAUAACUUUAAUGUUUUCUUCCUCUUUUUAUUGGAAUGAAAACAGGAUAGUGUAUGAGCGGUUUCAACUUACCGGCAAACUUCCACAGUGAUCUAGAAACACUCCUAAGGAAGAGAAGGGUUCGUACUGUCUCUUCUUUUGCUACGCAACCGGCAAGUGAAUCAACCAUUCCAGCACCAACCGCACCAAUCGCUAUGGCCAAGACACUCCGUGACUACUCCACUCCCGCUGUUGCCAACGUCUCGACUGGGCCUGCUGUCAAUAUGGGGAAUGGAAGCUUCGAAAUCUGCACUGGCCUCAUCUCUAUGCUGUAGGCAAGCCAAUUCUGUGGCCUACCAACCGAGGAUGCCAAUGCCCACCUUUAGAACUUCCUUGAGCUGUGCGACACCGUCGUCAUCAAGGACGUCACGCAGAACAGCAUCAGGCUCCGUCUGUUUCCCUUUUCCCUCGCCGGAAAGGUGAAACAAUGGUUUUAUCAAAACAAGGAAGCUGUUGACACAUGGGAAAAGUGCUCUGUGGCAUUCCUCGCCAAGUUUUUCCCCAUGAGCAGGACCAGAUCUCUGAGGGGGAAGAUCUCUAACUUCCACCAGUCUUCACUUGAGUCCAUACCCGAAGCAUGGGAGAGGCUCCAAGAGUACAUAUGGUCCUGUCCUCAUCAUGGAAUGGAAGACUGGCUUGUGCUCCAGAACUUCUACGAAAGCCUCACGGCCAUGCAAAGGGGCACGUAGAUGCCGCAGCUGGAGGUGCAUUUCUUUCUCUCACCAUUAAUGAAGCUACUGCCCUCACCGAGAAGAUGGUGGCAAAUCAAAGCUGGGGAGAAGGAAGGAAAACACAAAAAGGCUCACAAUCUGCAAAGGAGGCAGAUGUGCUUGCCACAAAAAUAUACUUGCUGCUGCAAAGGAUGGACGGACAAGUUGCAAAUCCCAAUAUGGGCACCGUCCAAGUAGUGAACUCACACACAUCGUAUGAAGUUUGUGGUGAUGAUGGUCAUUCGGGGAACAACUGCCCCAAAACCCAAGAAGAAGCAGCAUAUGUCAACAAUGGGUUUCGGCCACCAUAAUAAGGUAACAACGGGUGGAACAAUCAGCGUCGCCCACAGGGUAAUUUCUUCAAUCAGCCUUCCUUGAAAGAUCUGGUCAUAGGGCAAGCUAAAAUCAACGAGAAGUUGUCCUACAAUGACAAGAUCAUUGAGAACAUCAAUGCCAAGCUUGAAACUCUUUGUUCAUCUAUCAAAAGUCAGACGAGUUUCAACAAGAUGAUAGAAACACAAAUAGCAUAGAUAGUUGCAUCAAUUCUAGUCACUGACACAGAGAGCAUCCCAGGGCAACCGGAAACCUCUACUGAGUUCAUCCAUUCAACCACAGAAGAAUGAAGGAAGGAGAGUCUUGCCAACGGACUAUAAAUGUUGAGCCAUUGCCGAAGGCAUUUGGUAGUUAUCUAAAAAAACUAUAUAUAAUAAAAAUAAAAUUUUGUGCUAUUUGUGUCUGAAUAAAGAUAUCUGAAGGGGGCUCACGGCAUCAAGCAAGCUUGGGGGAGGUGUCCCCGCUCCGGUAUUAUGUCUUUUUAAAAAUUCUUUAAAUUUCAUUUUAAAUUCUCGUUUUAUAGAAAGUUUUUAUUUUUAGUUCCCAAAAGUUUCCCAUUCUAUAGUUUUAUUUUAGUCAAAAAUAAAGUUUCUCUGAUAAUCUUAUAAAAAUUAUUUUCUGGUAGAAUAGAUUUCCCCAUUUCCAAAUCUUAUUUUUAUAUACUUUUUCAAAACCAAAAAUAUUUUGAAUAAAUAUGUGGAGAAUCAAAAUCUAGAGCAAGAUUUCGAACCAAGUUUGAUCAUAACCAGAGAGACGUUUGGGGUGACUGUUGGAGCUAGCAGCCAAAAGGCCAGGCAGAAGCGGGCCCACCACUGGUGCGGGCGCACGAUGGUGCGGCCGCACCCUGCCCAAGGCCUGCUGGCCUUGGCCUUUGGGCAACGGCUAGUAGUCGUUGAGGGGGGCGCUCCCCCACCUGCGAUCAACUCUAUAAAUAGAGAGGAUCCUGGGUGGAGCACCUCACCCCUCUCACACACAUUUUUUUACUCUUCCCUUCUUCACUCUCUUGCUCAACUGUGCUUCAUAGCCUAUUCCACAAGCUUAGUGCAAGAAAAUUCUGUAAAAAACCUCUUGCACACUUCCCUCUCCAAGCAAAAACACCAUACACUUGUGCUAGCUCAUCCACCAUGAAUAGAAUUUUCGGGCUUAGAAGGAGCCACCGCCAACGCGGGGAAGAUCCACCAACCCCUGCAAGGAACGAGCAGCCGGCACAUGGAGGAGAGGAGGAGGAGCCACACGGCCAUGCCAUUGAUGAGGCCGACGCCCCCUUCAUCGACUUGGAGAGCGAGCAGGAGAUGCAGGGAUACAACCUCAUGAAGGAACAUGAGUUCCUCCAUUCGUCGGCAUUUGACCCCGCAUUCUUUCACCAAAUAGUUAUGGAUGUUGAGUUUGAUACUAUUUUUGAGCAUCUUGGUUGGAGUAGGCUUAACCCCAUUCAUGAGCUUGGGUCACGUCUUUUGACGAUCCAGAUUUUGGGCACUCUACAAAUUGUCAAUUAUGGUAUUACCUUCCGUUGCUUUGGAAGAUAUUUUGGUAUUUAUUGGAAGGAUCUUGCCAACCGUUUGGGUUUCCACGAGCGGUACUCCAUUGACUUAGGUUUCUCCCUUGGGGGAUACCAACGUCAUGCUUUCUGACAUUUGAUCUCGGGGCAACACGUCAUUGGAAAGUUUCAGGGGCAUUCUGCCAAACAUCCAUCACCCCACUCUGAGGCUUCUCCAUAAGUGGAUAAUUAGUUCGUUCUUUUCAAGAGAUGAUACGCAUCUUACUUACGACAUAGAGUUGAAGUUGCUUUAUGCUGUGCUCAAAAAGAUUAAGGUUGCACCUGUUGUUGAGCUUGUUAGUCAUUGGUUGCAUUCCAUUAAGACUUCAACUACUAUCAUGUGCACAUCUCUUAUUACUCGCCUUGCUGCAAGUGUUGAUCCUCAUGCUGCUAAUACCAUUAUUUACAUCACUACUCCUCGCAUCAUGAUUAAUGAAUCAUAUAUUUCGCAUGCACAUAUGAUUAAACAUGACGAAACAGGUAAAAAGAUUUUAUAUUAUUUUCCGAGAUAUACAAACGAGAUCCAGUUACCUAACCCGGAUCUCGCUCAGUAUAAUUCCCCAUCACCCACCUUCACCCUCAUUGAGAGGGAAGGAGGACGCAGGAGCUCUGUUUCUUGCAGGAACUCACAGUGGAGGGAACAAGAAGAGCAGGCAACACAAGCAGCAAGGGCAGCACAGCCAGCACCAUCCACACAGCCAGCACAGCACACUCCACCACAAGCUAUGCUAGGGAUGGGAUGGACCCCUGCUAUACCUGCACCCGAAUUUACCCCUGGGUAUGGAUAUGGUAUGGGAUACGUUCCUCACCCCUACGAGGCUGGAGGUUCAAGCUAGCAGGCAGGAGGGUCGAGCUGGCAGGCACACGGAGGCGCAGGCCUAUGCGAGCCAGAGGCAUAUGGAGCAAGGGGAUCCAAGCAUCACGAGCCAGGACACUCCUCAGAUUCCGAGGGAAUGCCACCCCCUGUUCGCCCUCAGGUUACACUGGACGUCCUCAACACUCGCAUGGGAGGACUGGAGCUCCAGAACAGGCAGAUCUAAGGUAUGCUGAAUGCCCACAUCUAGACUGCUACCCAAUGGCAUCAGUAGACCCAGCAGAGCUUCAUCGACCUUGAGGAUGCAAGGCGUUGCCGGCACGAGGCACAGAUGGCCUACCUGCGAUCCAUGGGACAUUUCCCUGGACCGCAACAGUGAGCUAGCUUGGGGGAGGACCCCCACAAGAGGUAACAUGUAUCUUACAUUCUUGCACUUAAUUUUAGUUCUUAAUUUCAGUAUUUAAGUUUCAGCAAUGUUUCAUCAUCUUUUAAAAAAAUUCCACUCUCAUGUGCGCUAUGAUAUGUUAGUUUCUCUUCUGUUGAAAUGAUGAAUAGUUGCUCUAUCUAUAAUUCUCUAGUAUCUAAGUUAUAAUUUAGUGUUCAUCAAGAUUUAAGUUUGUUGGCUAAAAAUGUCUCAUUCUGAGAACUUGAAAUCUUGUGGGUCGCAAAUGCAUGAUCCUUUUCUAAGUUGUUGUGAGACAUGAUAUGGUAUAAAUAGAUUUUGCUAUGACUUUGUUCUAAGAGAAACUUCACAUCCGGAGUUUUCUUUUCAAAAUUUUAAAACAAAGAGUUCCUCAAUGAUUAUGAAAUACCUACCAAGGCUAUAUGACUUGCUUAGUAGUUUGUACACCUUUAGUCAUAUAUGGCUUGCGGUACUUUGAGUUGAGUCAAAUCCCAGGAAACCUAGAGUGAGAUUAUGGUCAUGCACCCAUGAUAUGAGAUUCACGCACCCACCAAAUAAAGCCGACUCUCACACUGAGAAGUUGCGCACAACAUGCACCCUUCCAUCCACCAAAAAAUAUGCCAACUCUUACCCUGAGAGUUGCGCCUUAGCUUCCACCAAAUAAGUAUGCCAAACUCUCACCCUGAGGUUUGCGCAUCCCCAUACACAAUUUUACUCCUUACAUCACCAUCAUGACAUCUCUCCAUUUUCCUCUUUGAGAUCCCUUUGAAACAUGUGGGCACCAGUUAUCCAUGAAAAAAAUGAAGGAAAAGCCAAAGGGCAUGCACGGGAAAAUCAAAAUCCCCGUCAGAAUAUAUAUAUAUAUGAUCCAUUUUUUUAGAGCCAUAUGUUUACAUUCUCUCAUUCUCUUCCUCAAAUAAAGAGAGUCAUUAUACAAGGAGUAACCAAAAAUAUUUAGAUAGGACUACCACAAAAAAUUCCACACACUUGCACAUCUCAAUCAAGGUGUAUGACUUGUAUCUCCUCAUGGUCCGGGCUUUGACUUGGCAACACAAGUGUCGUAAGUACGCCCACCUUUAUACCUUCCCAAAGCUCCAUUCUCUGGUAGGUCUUAAAGGCAAACACAAAUGCCUUUGGUGGGGAUUUCAUACACAUUGAGCGAUCGAGAGAAUCAUUUGAGGAACUUAUUUAUUUUGCAAAAAUUUAUAAAACCUCCGGAUUGAUGGUCUAUCAAGGGAUGAAUGAAUGGUGAGUUUGUUACAACCAUUCUAUCAUGCAACCACACAAGAACUUGGAAAAGCUAUAAGCCCCAUGAGAAGUCAAGGUAAAGAGUGGACAGCAUGCCAACUUAUUUAAAUUGUGAAUGAAUGCUUUGUUAUAGGUAUGGUACUCUUGAAUUAUAUCGGCAUAGUAGCAACUCCUGAUCAACAACCAUACUUAAUUAUUUGCUCGAGACGAGCAAAGGUUAAGCAUGGGGGACUUGUUGGCAGUCAUUAUAGACCAAUCAUAAACUGCCAACUUGAUCCAAAAGGAGAAGAAGCAAUCAAAUUAUAUACACACAUGCAUUUUAUUACUAACAAGUUCAACUUGUACCAUAGUGAUUAUAUUUUGCAGGAAUUAUAGUUCAACAAGUGGAAAUGUGCCAUACCAUGAAGAAAGCGCAAAGUACCAAAAGACGUAUUCAAAAAUGCAAAAACCAAGAAAAUAGAGAAAGGCAUGAACAACGUAGAACUAGGACUAAUCGUAACCACGGGAGUGAUCCAGGCCCAAAGCCAAACCGAUCACGCGAAGGCGGUGGCCAUGGGGACCCACCCAGGGUGCGGCCACACGUUGGUGUGGGCGCACCCCUGGAGGCGGCAAACCGGGCCCAUCUUUCUCAAGCGAUUACAUGCCGCCAUGCAUAGGACAGUUUCACCUACUACAAAAUUUUUGGUGCAAAAGCUAAUCUGCAAACACAAAGGGCUAAUACCCGAUUCAAACGUUAAGGCGUGCCAGUCGAUUUGACCUUACAAUCGACAAAGGUGGUAACUCGAACACUUUGGUCCCGACAACAGCGAUGCACCCAGAUGUCACGGCCAAGAGGUGCUCACGCGGAACUUGAGAAUACGCCGAGUUUGACUCGACAAAUUCCUAAGAACUCGUAGUAAAAGGAAAAUAUGACGAAGUCGUCAAAAAAGUAGAUGCUAGAAUAUGUGUAAAAACUUAUGUUUGAUUGAUAGAUAGAUAUCCCAUUACAUUGACACCGGGUCUAUAUUUAUACCCUGACCAAAAGAGUUACAACCAGACACGACUAGGACUCAAAUUCCAAAUUGAACAGAAUCCGUAUACAAAACGAACUCUAAUAACUAAGAAAAACAUUAAACUAUCCUCCACAACCGAUCUGUACACGGCUAUGAGCCAAUCGGCAACCCCCGCAUCUUCCUCUAUGACCAUCGGCAGACCACCUUUCAUCGCCAUCGACAACCAUCAGCAUUGGCCAUCGGCAUGAACGCAUCACCACUCCUGGACUUAAUCAUAUUCGGCUGCUCUUCCAUCAGCAUCGACAUUCAUCGACAACUCCCUUGUAGACUAGUCACCAUUGCUCCAUCUGCCGAUCUACAUUUCAUUAACUCCAGGUGCGCUUCAAAAGAUACGUGUCCAAAAAUGGUGUCAACACAUGCCCCCCAAUUUCGGAGUAUAAAAUCAUUAAUGCUCCAAACUUCUCUUCAGUAAUGAUGCCUUUCCACAAUUACUCCUCCCAAUUUAGUAAUCAGCCGCCAAAUCUGAACAACCUCAGCCCGAUUAUCCUGCAGAUUCCUCGAAUUCCUGAACCAAACCUCCCCACUUAUGCGCUCAUCGGCAAUAUUACCGUUAGAGAAAACUGCUGAUGAACCGACCCGGCGAUCUUGCACAGUAAAAUAUCUUCAAAAUCAUGACCGCUUGCUGUCACAUCACCUUCGCAAUCCCUUGAUUAUCGUGCAAACAGUUACCAUAUCCACCUGAACACCGUCGGAUUUCACGGAUGCGGCAAAGAGAUAAGUCAGAUUUGCCCCUGCCCGUUUUGUCCUAUAAAUACUUCCUUCUCCGGUACUCUUUCUCCAUCUUGUCAUUCUACAGCCUCAAAUCCACUUUCCUGGCGGCGGCAUUGCCUGAGAACUCCAAGAACUCCAGCAAGGGCAUCCCCCACCAAUCUUCCAAGUCUUCGAUCCCUCCCCUUCCUCGGGAAGAAAUGGCCAUCAACUUCAUCGUUCCUGAGGUCAGCCUACCAUCCUUCUUUUAUACUUUUACCGUACUCCUGUUCAUCUGCAAAUCUAGUUACUGAGUACCUUUUCCCUUCUUUUUUGUUUCUUUUCUGUUCUUCCAUCCUCAAAACCUUUUAGGAGUUGGCCGAUAAAAUCGUGAUCCCUACCGAUCAACCACACUUCCAGUGUCUUGGCCCAUUGGGGAACCCAGAUCCCACCGAUCUAAUAAAUGCAGAGACAAAUAGAAUCCCCUUUAGAGCCGAGAACUUCUCCUUAGAUCUAUGGAAAGAUGCUUUCCAUUCCUGGCCCAGCUCUACCAAGGGAUGGAAAGACUGGUUCCUGAGAGUCAGUCAAUCGAAUGAAGUCCAAUGGGGUGAACAGAAAUUAGACCAAUGCAUCAGAUUUCUCUUGCCGAUAUGGAGAGGAAUGAGUCACUGUUGAUAGCUGCCUCGUACUUUUGGUCGGAUACACUUAACGCUUUUGUAUUCAGCCACAGCCCUGCUUCACCUACUCUUGCCGAUGUACUUAUGCUUACCGGCUUGGACAUACCAACUGCCGAUAAUAGUCAUCUAUUUGAUAAUAAGACCAGUUCUAAAGUAGAGACUCGCGCUAUCGGCGGUUGGUCCGGGUACAUACAGAAGUACCGUAAAACGGGAUCUGUUGGGGAAAGAGAAUAUGCCAUUUUCUUGAAUAUGUGGCUCGAUAAGUUUGUAUUCUACGGUCGAUCGGCAGGACCAACCUCUGUCUGUCUAUCGGCAGCAGAGAGACUGGCCAAUGGUGGCCGAUUUCCUCAUGGCCGAUGCUUGCUUGGUUCUGUCUACCACCUUCUCCACCAGGUAGCCAACAAAGUCCUGCUAGGCCAACCCAUCGGCAACUUAGGGGGACCCUGGUGGUUUAUCAACAUGUGGCUCAGUGUUCACAUGCACAAGCGUCUUGGAUUCGAUCUUUUUGCACAACGCUUUCCAAGAGACAUAGCCGAAGAUCACGAAUUAGGUGAUGAAGAAUCGGCAACUCGUCCACCUUUGAACUUUGGUGAGGCUGCCAUAGUUCUACCUGGUACUGGCGGUAAUGAAGACCAGAUCAGCCGAUUCUUCCAAACUCUUUAUGAGGGUCUGACCAAGGAGCAGCGAGCAUGGAUGCCCUAUGAAGACAUAGAAACCAGAUUCUCACUCACUUUCCAUCCCUUCGACAAUGCUCUCAAUAAGGACCAUGAUCUGAUGAUGGCAAUUAUUACUCCGAGAGCCAUACCAGUGAAUUUCUUUGGCAGUGGGAAAGCUUCCAAUCUGACUUACGAGUUCUAUAACCCAUCGGUGGCUCAUCAACUAGCCUUUGGACAGCUGCCGAUCGCACUCUGCUGCGCCGAUGUGAUGAAACCGAGGAAGGUCAUGACUAGCGGUCUUGAGUGGAUCAGAAUAGCUCAACUCCCACCAAAUGCCGAUACGUCAAACAUCGAUUUAUCGGCUUGGAUUCCAGCUCUCUUCAUUACUCAAGCAUACAAACAAUGGUGGGAAGAAUGGAAGGACCACCUAUUCUGCAGAUCGGCCCUCACAUACCGCGGCAUGAUCGACCCCAAAUACAAAGUUCCUGAGAAUACUGUAAGCUUUUAACCGAUGCUUCAAUCUUCUUUUAUUACUUUUAUUUCUAUCGGUAACUUACUCCUCUUUUAAACAGGUCGACGACGCACCACCGAUAGUUAGCAGAAGCAGAAUGCCGAUUGAAGUCCUUCCAUCAGGCCCGAUAUCCCUCAUCGGCAACAACGCACCAACCCUGGCAGCUCUAAUGCACCGAAACAUGCGCUUCAAAAAGAUCACCACCAAACGAGCCAGGAUACCUCCAUCAGCCGCUGCUGCCGCCUUGAUCCAAGCCUUCUAGGUAAAUUCUUGACUUGCUUCAAUUUAUACUGAUUCCAUUCUAUACUCACACAACCUUUUCAAUACUCUAUUAUAUCUAUACUCACGAAACUUUUGUUGUCGUAUCAGCAAACUAGCCAAUCGGCAAAGACCAGAAGUACCAAGGUGAGUGCCGAUGCCCCCCAGUCUAGCAAGAUCAAGAGGAAAGGCCCCAAAAGCACCAAGUCACAAGCGAAACGCUAGAGAACAGCAACGCCCUCUCCUCCUCCUCCUCCAGAGUUACUGAUUCAUGUGGAAUCAUCUCCUUCGCCAGAAGUUCAGACACGACAAGCAUCACCUCCACCCUAGCAACAAGAGGUACCUCGGCCAGAAGAGAUGUCAGCCGAUGUACUUUAGCAGACUGCUGGCCUAGUGGAAGCAAUCAUAUCAUCGGUAGUUUCUUCAAUCCAAAUAAGCACUGCUCCCCCUCAAGGUAAAGUACUGCCCAUGAAAUUAUUACCGAUGGAUCUAUUUUUUCAACUCAUAAUCAUCUCUGCUAAUUUUCAGCAGACAUUGUUCCAUCGGCAACUCUAGCCGAUCAAUCUAUAGUACUGUUGACGGUCCUUAAGUAUCAAAUUUAAUUAUCAAAUAAAUAAAGAAAAGGAUCCAAAUGAAAUCAACAUCUAGACUUAGGGUUUUAUCUGACAGAAUUCCACGAGUUUUGGUGUUUGUCUAUUUCUGCAGGGGGUUAUCAGGAAAUAUGGAAGAAAGGCCCACAUGUCGGGAUUACGUAAAGAUAUUAACGUGCUGCGCAAUUAUCUUACAUCUAGAAGACUCCAGAAGCCACGAGACCGAAGCGGAGGCGAAACUGGGCCAGAGGCAGGGCGCCCGCCCUCUCCAGGAGUCCAAUCAGGACUCUGCUUUGCGGGAGAUCUCCACCGAGCUAAAGGAUGAAUCUAAACCAUACAAUCUAUGUCGGUUUGAUCCAACGACCCAUAUUCACUUGAAGGGACUAUAAAACCAGACCCCCUGGCCCAUGGAGGAUAGAGCCUCUCAACCCUAAUUCAUUGUUCCAUCAAGGGAGAAGAAGCCUCUGAUCAAGAUUAGAGCCACCACAUCAAUUAGAUAUCUUGAUUAGCAUAGCUACAUAGGAUUAGAACUAGAAGGAGUCAAUCUUCGAUUGGUUUCCGGAUCUGUCAAGAGGAUUCUUGGUAAUUCUCUAAUUGUGCUUCCUAAUUAUCUUUGUUCUUCAAUAUUAUGAAUAUGACUUUGUUCUACUUCAAUAUAUUGCUUAUGACUUUGCUCUACUUGCUUAUAUUCAAGAUUAUAUUGUUCUUAGUUUAUCAUAGAUAUGUACUUAGCUUAGUUAGAUUGGAUCUAUAUACAUGUUUAGGAUCGUAUAGCGUUUAUCCAUCGGAUCUAUGGGUAAAUGAUAGAUAUUGUGUAGGCGUGGUGCUUAUACCGUAUUUAUCUGCGAUUGUACCCAAUAUGCCAGAUCGUGGGGUGGUUCGUGAUAGUGACAGCUUCAUUGAUUCUUAUAUAGUCCCCCUCUCGUGUAUUGGGCUGGCAGAGCAACAUUAUUACAGGGGAGUGAUUGCUAUGUUUCCCAUAUUCCUUGCUAAUAUCACUAUGCAUGGGCGUAGUCUUGUCUCACAAUGAUUGCUAAGUAUGCUUGCACUUACUAUGAUAAUGCUAGACUAUAUAGUUGAGAAUAACUUAGGGAAUAUUCUUGUAGUUCGUUCUAAUACCAUGCUAAUGACUUUCUAGAGUAUCUAAUUGAGGUGCUUGUCAUAUUUAUUACGUGGCUAGAUCAGAUUAGUUAUCCUUGUCUCUAUUAUUAUUUCAUAUAUCUUUUAUGUGACACUUAUCCCUGUAUGAGAAGUUAGAUAUAAUGUUCUCAAUUAUACAUGCAAUGAUAGAUGCUCAAUCUCAUAUUCUAUUCUGUAAUCAUUAGUGAUGAUUUCUAAUCCCUUCCCAGUGGUAAAAAUAUAAAUAACGAUACCUGGAAUACUUCCCGGUUAAAAUGCUACAUCGGUAUUUUGUGCGCUUGCAGAUCCAAUUCAUUAUUUAUUUAGAAGAGCAAUUGCAUAUUUCAAUACCGCGUCUCUCAUGUCAUGCUGGGGAUGACAACUUGGCUUAAGUGGUGUGAGGGAUAGGUUUGGCAUUUUUGGCACCGUUACUAGAUUUAGAGAACUUAGUCUACUUUUGGUAAUGAUGUUAAGAAUACCCAACAAGCAUUUUUGGCGCCGUUGCCGGGGAAGGUUGAUUACUAAUCAGGAAUGGAAUAAAAGAUUUUGAGUUAUCAUUCGCAUCACUAAUAUGAUUGAGCUUAUCUAUUCUCUCAUACAGUUUUACCCCGAUAUUUUUCUAUUUUAUCUUAUACAGGGGAAUGUAUGAAUAGAAGACAUCUUCCAGGAAAUUUUGUUGACAAUCCUGAAGCAUUAUUCAAGAAGACGAGAGCAAAGCUCAAGAAGAGAUCAUCAACAUUUCAGCAAGAAGCUUCAUCCAAUCAAGAAGAUCACCGGAACUUGUCUUCAGAGUUCGAGGCCAUGGCGAACAAAUCAAUCCGCGAGUUCUCAGCUCCCACUACGGACAACAUCCGCACUGGACCUGCUGCAGAGAUCGAUGGAAACUUUGAGCUCAAGCCUAGACUUAUCAACAUGGUGCAAUCCAACCAGUUCUGUGGGAAGGCACACGAAGAUGCUAGUGCUCAUUUACAACACUUCCUGGAGAUUUGCAACACAUUCACCAUAGCAGGAGUUUCCAAAGACGCUAUACUACUUCGCCUCUUCCCAUUCUCACUGUUAGGAAGAGCGAAGCAGUGGUUCUACGCUACAAAGGAGAAGAAUACUACGUGGGCACUCUGCUUAACAAACUUCCUGGCUAAGUUCAUUCCCAUGGGCAAGACCAAUGCUCUCCGUGGGAAGAUUACAAGUUUUCAGCAACAAAAUGAUGAAUCUGUUCCAGAAGCAUGGGAGCGCUUUCAAGACUACAUCCUAGAAUGUCCCCAUCAUGGAAUGGAGAGUUGGCUACUGAUGUAGACGUUCUAUCAUGGGCUCAGCAACAGUGCCCGAGAGACCAUGGAUGCUGCAGCUGGAGGAGCAUUCUUAUCACUUACUAUACCACAAGCCACAGCUCUUGUGGAGAAGAUGGCGUCCAACCAAAGCUGGAAUGAAGAGAGGACCCAGACACGCAAGAGAGGUGGAGGUAUACAUCAGCUAAAGGAGGUAGACAUGCUGUCUGCAAAGCUAGAACUGCUCAUGAAGAAGCUCGAUGAUAGAGCUGGAGACAAGAAAGAAGUUAUGCACAUCUACGACUCUCACAUGACUUGUGAGGAGUGUGGAGACACUGGACACUCAGGCAACCACUGCCCUGAGAUGCUUGAGGAUGUGAACUACAUCAACAACAACAACAACUACUACAACCGUCCUCAACAAAAUCAAGGUUGGAAUCAACAGAGGCCUAACUACUCAGGUAAUUAUCAAGGUAACAAUUCUUACAACAAUAAUGCUAAUAAUUUUCCACCUUUGAGAGAGUUAGUGUCUAAUCAAGGAAAGCUAAUGGAUAACCUAUCCAAGAAAUUGGCAUCUAAUGAUAAAAUGUUAGAAAAUAUAAAUAAUAGAAUGGAUAAUUUUUCUACUGCCAUCAAGAAUCAAAUUAGCUUUAAUAAAAUGAUUGAAUCUCAGUUAAAUCAAAUAGCUGCUGCUGUUCCUACUACUAACCCCGGUAUACCAUCACAACCGGAAGGAUUAGAAUCUGCAAAUCUUGUAGACAUGUUUGAUGCAGGUAAUUGGAGUAACCCCGUCAAUGAAUUCUCUACUGACCUUCUGCCGGUCAAGAGAGGCGAUCCAGGACGCCCCGUCAUCCCGAUCUCCAUCGGCAUGGUGGACGUUCCAGAAGCACUCUGCGACUUUGGCUCUAGUGUCAACAUUAUACCCAGGGUACUCUAUGAAAAAUUCUUUACAUAUCCUUUAUCAGAAACAACCAUGUGUUUGCAGUUUACAGAUCAGACGAUAACUUUUCCAAAAGGAAUAGUGAAGAACCUUUGUGUCCGAGUUGGUACCUUAUAUGCCCCAGCAGACUUCGUAGUGGUAGAGACCGGAAAUGAUGAGAGAGCACCUAUCAUCCUUGGGAGGCUAUUUUUGAACACCACGGGAGCUAUCAUCUACGCCAGUGCUGCCAAGAUCAGUUUCUACGUCAAAGGGAAGAAGGAGACAUUUUUCUUCAAGAACAAGACUACACAAAUUCAAGAUCAAUCCAGACGUAAAUCAAGGAAGAGGUCCAACAGGAGAAACAGGAACAAGCAAGUGUGGACCGAGUCAGCUAAGAUGGUCACUGUAGUCCAUGGAGGCCAAGAUCACCAACUUAAGUCACCGUCUUUGACCAAGAAGGAUGAACCAGGAAUGCCAAGCAUUUACUGCUCCAUAAAUGGAUACAACUUCUACAAGACGAUUUGCGACACCGGAUCGGGCGUCAACAUAAUGGCCGCAGUCACCUAUCGGCUCUUGUUCGGAACCAUGCCACUAAGACCAACAUACAUUCAGCUUCAGAUGGCAGAUCAGACAUUUCGAGAAGUUAAAGGAAUAGUAACUGAUGUCCCAGUCAAAAUAGACGAUCACUUUGUCUACACAGACUUUUAAGUUAUUGACAUGGGAGAAGAUGAGUACGAUCCACCCAUCAUCCUUGGAAGACCGUUCCUCAGCACCGUUAAAGCAAUUAUCUACAUUGGAACCGGAGAAGUCCAUAUGCACUUCCCCUCAGAGAAGGUACGCCGUUAUUUUACUGACCCUAACUAUAUCGUUGAAGAAUCUAAGCAGGUAAGAAAGCGACGCAACCGCAACCAGAGGAGGCAGAUCAUCAAGGACGGAUGGGCAGACUAUGAAGGAGAAGUUGUAAGGUCAGAAGACAUAGAGUUUAAAUAGAAUUAUCCAGAGGAGAUUGAAGCACCGAGUCAGGUAUGGAAAAUGAAGAUAACUAUACAAGAAGAGGAGGCGCUGCCGGAAGCACCGACUACGCCACCCAACGAACCUCAGGACAAUUGAGAAAAUGGAGAGUCCCGUUCGGAGGACUUAAAAACACCGAACGCCUUGCCAAGAGGUAAACUUGGUAGUUAUCCUUUCCCUUUCAAUUAUUUCAAAUAGUUACUUAGUUAAUUAAGUUCAUACUAUCUUAAAAAGAAAAUAAAAAUGUGAAAAAUAGUAAGCCCCAUGUGAGUAGACGAGUGGCAUAAAACCCAUAAGUACGUGGUGGCAUAAAAAUAAAAUAAAUAUUUUUCUGCUUUAUAAAAACAAAAAUAUAAAAACAGGGAGUAAUAUUUAUUAAGGAGUCUCAACAUGAAAAAGGCUAGAUAUUUAUGCUAACACUUAAUCAGUUCCACAAGCUUUGUUGUCUAUUUGAGCUCCACAGAAUUUAAGAAUCAAGAAGACUAGCAGACGUAGGACAUUAUAAUCGCUGUCAGAAUGCUGCCGACUUUCAAAUACACCUCCGCCACCUGUUAGCUACAUCAAGAGAAAUUACGUCAAAAUUCAGCUUGGGGGAGAGCACCCCCAUUUAUCCGAUAAGUAUUUCUAUCUAUCUUUAUACUUAUACUAUAUUAGAAUAUUAAAAUACAAAAACUAGGAAAAACCAAAUAAAGAUUUUAUGCUUAUAUAUAUAUGUCUUUUGCUUAGUGUGUUUAAUAAAUAAAUAAAGUGGCUAUGCUAAUCUGUAUCUAAAUAAAACUUAAGCAUGGAUAUGAUAAAUAGUUGCUCUGCCUAAUUUGCAAAUUUUAAGUUCUCUCUCAAGUUUAGAUAUAACUGUUAUAAUUUAAAGCUUGCUCUAGACCUAAACUUGUGGGAUGAAAACUUGAUCUGAAGUCUAAGUUGUUAACGGAUAUGAUAUGGGAAGGUUGAGCUGCUGUUUAUCUGUUCCUAGAGAUGCUAGAAUUCUGGAGAAUUUUAUCUUUAAAAAUCUUUAAAAUAUUGCAUGAUGAGUUCCUGUAUGAUGAGAGUUUAAAUUCCUACCACAGCCAUAUAUGCAUGCUUGCUAGACUUUGAGCCACACAUUUAUUAUUUACUACUUAUGAGCAUUGAGUGUGGUCAAGCUGUGUUGACCCUUAGGAGCUUGUCAUGUGGUUAAAUCAAGAUUUCACUUGCACGUUCACUCAUAUAUGCUACUUCUACUCCGGAAGUACCAUCCACAUGUAUUCACCCAUUCCAUCUCCAGAAUUACCCAAAAAAUAUUCUACUCCUAAUCCGGGAGAGAAUAACCAAAAAUAUUUCUGUUUUCCCCUUGUGAAAUAAAUGCUCAAGUUAUCUUGUUACUACCACUUGCUAUAUUAUCUCAAGAGAUGAAUGCUCUAAAAAAAAAAGAAAAAAAAAGAGAAAAAAAAAUAUACGAGGAAAUAAAAAGGAGCAAGUGCUCGGAACCUCGAAAGAAAAGAAAAGUGAGACGAGAGGUAAAAAUGGACAAGUGUCCGAUAGUAGAAUUAGGGGUACAAGAAACCCACCUGAGAGAAAAGAAAAAAUAUAGAGCAUCUCAUUCUCCUCAUAAAGUUUCAAAAAGCAAGGAAGGUAUGUAACCCCUCAAAAGAGCAAAGUAGAAUUAGACUUCCACCUCCAUUGUUUUCACCAUUGUUAUCACCAUCAUCACCAUACACCAUUCAUUCGCCACACAUGCACAUCUUGAUUAAACUUAUUGACUUGUUACUUUGGAUCCAUGGUUUGACUAUGCAAUAAAUGUCUUGUAAGUAUGUAUACUUUAUCUCCCACCUAUGAGCUCCAGAUAUUAAAGCCUUAUUAGAGUAGGAUGAGAGAGAAGGCAAUGUCACUAUGCCUCAUACCACAAAUACCACAUAUCUUGAGAGAAGGCAUAUACCAUCACUGCCUUGGUAAGGAUCCAAAAAUACCACAAAAGAGAGACCUGAGAGAAUCAUACAAGGAAUCUCUGAGUUUUAUUUGAAAAUCUGCAAAAACCCUAGAGCUAUAGCUGAUCAAGAAUAAGAGACAUGGCACUUGGCUAGACUGUUCUAUAUUUUAACCACUCAAGACAGAAGUGACGGUUACAAGUCCCAUGGUGAAGGUAAAUUAAGUAAGUUUUAAGUCUUGACAGUUUACUCUAACUCAGAGAUGAGAUCUUAUUUAAAAGCAUGUGUACGUCAAUUUUUAAAUAUAUUGCAACAACUUAUGAUCCAUAGCUGAGUCUAUCCUUGCUCAGGGACGAGCAAGAGGUAAGCUUGGGGGAGUUUGUUGACGGUCCUUAAGUAUCAAAUUUAAUUAUCAAAUAAAUAAAGAAAAGGAUCCAAAUGAAAUCAACAUCUAGACUUAGGGUUUUAUCUGACAGAAUUCCACGAGUUUUGGUGUUUGUCUAUUUCUGCAGGGGGUUAUCAGGAAAUAUGGAAGAAAGGCCCACAUGUCGGGAUUACGUAAAGAUAUUAACGUGCUGCACAAUUAUCUUACAUCUAGAAGACUCCAGAAGCCACGAGACCAAAGCGGAGGCGAAACGGGGCCAGAGGCAGGGCGCCCGCCCUCUCCAGGAGUCCAAUCAGGACUCUGCUUUGCGGGAGAUCUCCACCGACCUAAAGGAUGAAUCUAAACCAUACAAUCUAUGUCGGUUUGAUCCAACGACCCAUAUUCACUUGAAGGGACUAUAAAACCAGACCCCCUGGCCUCUGGAGGACAGAGCCUCUCAACCCUAAUUCAUUGUUCCAUCAAGGGAGAAGAAGCCUCUGAUCAAGAUUAGAGCCACCACAUCAAUUAGAUAUCUAGAUUAGCAUAGCUACAUAGGAUUAGAACUAGAAGGAGUCAAUCUUCGAUUGGUUUCCGGAUCUGUCAAGAGGAUUCUUGGUAAUUCUCUAAUUGUGCUUCCUAAUUAUCUUUGUUCUUCAAUAUUAUGAAUAUGACUUUGUUCUACUUCAAUAUAUUGCUUAUGACUUUGCUCUACUUGCUUAUAUUCAAGAUUAUAUUGUUCUUAGUUUAUCAUAGAUAUGUACUUUGCUUAGUUAGAUUGGAUCUAUAUACAUGCUUAGGAUCGUAUAGCGUUUAUCCAUCGGAUCCAUGGGUAAAUGAUAGAUAUUGUGUAGGCGUGGUGCUUAUACCGUAUUUAUCUGCGAUUGUACCCAAUAUGCCAGAUCGUGGGGUGGUUCGUGAUAGUGACAGCUUCAUUGAUUCUUAUAUAGUCCCCCUCUCGUGUAUUGGGCUGGCAGAGCAACAUUAUUACAGGGGAGUGAUUGCUAUGUUUCUCAUAUUCCUUGCUAAUAUCACUAUGCAUGGGCGUAGUCUUGUCUCACAAUGAUUGCUAAGUAUGCUUGCACUAACUAUGAUAAUGCUAGACUAUAUAGUUGAGAAUAACUUAGGGAAUAUUCUUGUACUUCGUUCUAAUACCAUGCUAAUGACUUUCUAGAGUAUCUAAUUGAGGUGCUUAUCAUAUUUAUUACGUGGCUAGAUCAGAUUAGUUAUCCUUGUCACUAUUAUUAUUUCAUAUAUCUUUUAUGUGACACUUAUCCCUGUAUGAGAAGUUAGAUAUAAUGUUGUCAAUUAUACAUGCAAUGAUAGAUGCUCAAUCUCAUAUUCUAUUCUGUAAUCAUUAGUGAUGAUUUCUAAUCCCUUCCCAGUGGUAAAAAUAUAAAUAACGAUACCUGGAAUACUUCCCGGUUAAAAUGCUACAUCGGUAUUAAUCUGUGCGCUUGCAGAUCCAAUUCAUUAUUUAUUUAGAAGAGCAAUUGCAUAUUUCAAUACCGCAUCUCUCAUGUCAUGCUGGGGAUGACAACUUGGCUUAAGUGGUGUGAGGGAUAGGUUUGGUAUUUUUGGCACCGUUACUAGAUUUAGAGAACUUAGUCUACUUUUGGAAAUGAUGUUAAGAAUACCCAACAAGUACCACCAGCUUCAACUAGCCAGAGGCGAGAAAUGUUCUGAAACAAGUAAGUCAUUUGAUCUCUGUUUUUCAUAUUACCAAUACUUGAUCAUCAAAUAACUUAUCUUAUUUAUUCUUCAGGAACAAGACUCUCCGGACAGUUUGUUCGCUUUUGCCAUUGAAAUUUCUGAUGAUGAAGGUGAGGAAGCAAGCUCUUCUCAAGCAGUAGGGAUUUCAUCGGCAGAAAUCAGAGCUAAACUAGAGGAUCUGCUAGCCCUGCUUCAUCGAGAUACAGCUCAAUUAGUCGACGACUCUGAUCCAGCAAAAGCUCUAUUCAGAGCCCUCAGAGGUCAAAUCCCCGCCGAUGCCAAAGAGACUCUUUUCCGGGCUGCACACUUAGAGAGCCACCAGCUUUAGUAUCAAAAGGCUGCCCAACGUCUUGUCGAUAGAACCACUCAUGCUCAGCUCUCGGAGGAGGUAAUGAAAGUGAAGUACCUUGCCGAUGAGAAACACAAGAGCAUCGGCAUUCUGAAAUCCUCAGUAGAUACGCUGAGACAAAAGAUCUCCGACCUAUCGGCAAAAAGGGAAGCCCUGUUGGUAGAGCUUAAGCAAGUAGAAGAGGCUCUGUCCCAAGCUCAACAGGAAGAAAGCCAGCUGCCCAAAACGAUCAAGACCCUCGAGCAAGAGCGAAACAUCCAAGCCCGCAAGGCACUGCAGAUGAAAAAGAAGCUGAAACCAGUGGAAGGCUCUGCCGAUGAAGACAUCAAGGUGAUAGAAGAAGCCGAUCAAAUGCGUCUGCGCGCCAUAUCGGUCAUCCAAACCCUGCUGAAUGUAUGAACUCUUCAUCGGCGGCGUGUUUUGCUCUUUCUUUAAAAACUCCUAAAGAUUUUAGUCUAGCCGAUAAGACUGUUAUCGGCAUCCUUUUGAAACAUCGUAUUCAGUCCCAGAUACACUUUAAUCCAGCCGAUAGGAGUGUUAUCGGCACUUAAACUUUAUGCAUCGACCCAUAUGCUUGGGUAAUAUCUCUUUAAAUACUUUCCAUUCAAUGCUCUAGGAAAUUCAACUCCUUCGAGAGUUUCCAAAAUAUAAGCAUUACCGGGAGCAGACCGAUUUAUCCGAUAAGGACCUUCCCAAUUAGGAGACCAUUUGCCAAACUUUGAACUCUUAGUCCCAAUUGGUAAUAUUAGUUUCCACAACAAAUCUCCAUCGGCAAACUCCUUAGCUUUUACCUUUUUAUCAUACCAUCUAGCAACUCUCUUUUUAUUUUCUUCUAUACUUAUCAAGGCCCUUAACCGAUGCCCUGCUAAAUCGUCUACCUCGUCUUUCAUCAGAGUAGCAUAGUCAUCGGCAGCCAGUUGAUCUUGAAAAGAUAGUCGCCUAGAUCCGGUCUUAAUUUCCCUUGGCAGCACUACAUCAUGCCCAUACACUAACUGAUAAGUUGAAACUUUAGUCGACCCAUGACAAGCCAUCCGAUACGACCACAAAGCCUCACUCAACAAUGUAUGCCACCUCCUAGGAUUUUCUUCAAUCUUUCGUUUGAUAAGCUUAAUAAUUCUUUUGUUAGAUGCCUCGGCCUGCCCAUUGACUUGAGCAUAAUAAGGAGAAGAAUUGAGCACUUUAACCCCCAUACCGAUUGCAAAUUCAUCAAAUUCUCUUGAUGUAAACAUGGUACCCUGAUCGGUAGUAAUCGUUUGAGGAAUACCAAAUCGGUAAAUAAUAUGCUCUUUCACAAAAUCAAUCAUAUUGGCCGAUAUUACUUUCUUCAAAGGAAUAGCUUCAACCACUUAGUGAAAUAAUCAGUGGCAACUAAGAUGAACUUAUGUCCUUUACUUGAUGGUGGGUAAAUUUGGCCGAUUAGAUCAAUAUCCCACCCCCGGAACGGCCAAGGCUUAAUAAUGGGAUUCAUAGCUGAUGCGGGUGCCCUUUGAAUAUUACCAAACUUCUGACAUCCUUGACAACCUUUGAAAUAUUUAAAGCAAUCUUCAAGUAUAGUCGGCCAAUAAUACCCGUUCCUCCUAAUCAUCCAUUUCAUCUUAAAAGCCGACUGAUGUGCUCCACACACUCCUUCAUGGAUUUCACCCAUCAAACUUUUAGCCUCAUCAUUACCUAAGCAUUUGAGGAGAACUCCACCUAAGUUCGAUAAUAUAGUUCAACCUCGAGGAGCACAUACUUGGUUGCUUCGAACCUGAUACGCCUCUCAACCUUCUUAGAUGGAUCCUUUAAAUAAUCAAUGAUCUCCUUUCUCCAAUCAUCGGCACUGGUUGCCGAUAACGCAUCCAAUAUGUGUUGAUAUCCCGAGGCAUGCUGAGCCAACCGAUUAGCCUCCUCAUUAUGUAACCGAGGAACAUGCUCUAAUCGGAAAUCCUUGAAUUUUUUUAAUAGUUGCAUACUCUUUUCAUAAUAGGUUAUCAGGACUUCGCUUCGGCAUUCAUAACUUCCAGCCAACUGAUUUAUGACCAGCAUAGAAUCCCCAAAGAUUUCAACAGCAUCAGCAUGAACCUCUUUUAAUAAUUCCAACCCCUUGAUCAAAGCUUGAUACUCGGCUUGAUUAUUCGUUGACGUGGCAACAAUCGGCAAAGAGAACUCAUACUUCCUUCCCUGAGGGGAAAUUAGUACUAUGUCGAUUCCUACCCCCCGGUCACACGUGGAUCCAUCAAAGAAGAGCAUCCACGGCACAAUUUCCAAAGUUUCCACUACACCGCAAUGUUGAGUCACAAAAUCGGCCAUAAUCUGCCCUUUAACCGCCUUAGCCGGUUCGUAACGUAAAUCGAAUUCUGACAGUGCCAAAAUCCACUUACCGAUUCUACCACUCAUGAUCGGCAUAGAUAGCAUAUAUCGGACCACAUCAUCUUUGCAUAUAACAGUGCAUUCGGCCGAUAGCAAAUAGUGCCUCAACUUAAUGCAAGAAAAGUAUAAGCAUAAGCACAAUUUUUCAAUGGCCAAAUACCUGAUCUCAGCAUUAAUCAGUCUUCUACUUAAAUAGUAAAUCACACGCUCCUUCCCUUCAAAUUCUUCAAUCAAAGCUGAACCGAUGACCAUCCCAUCGGCAGAUAAAUAUAAUCGGAAAGGUUUUCCUUGCUGAGGUGGAAUCAAAACUGGAGGAUUUGUUAAAUAAUUCUUAAUUUCAUCCAAUGCUAACUGUUGCUCUUCUCCCCACACAAACUCCUCAUCGGCUUUCAACUUAAGCAAAGGACUAAAAGCACGAAUUUUACUAGACAAGUUAGAUAUAAACCUCCUAAUGAAAUUUAUUUUGCCGAUUAGGGACUGGAGCUCAGUCUUGUUGGUAGGAGCAACUAUUUUGUUGAUGGCAUCAAUAGAUCUUCUACUAAUUUCAAUUCCUCUCUCAUGCACCAUGAAACCAAGAAAUUGCCUUACCGAUACACCAAAUGCACACUUGUUGGGAUUCAUCUUUAAACCAUGUUUCCUUGUGCAUUCCAACACCUUUUGCAGAUCGGCAAGAUGCUUGUGAAAUCCCCAGACUUAACCACCACAUCAUCAAUAUAAAUCUCUACCAGCUUGCCGAUGAACUCAUGAAAAAUAAAAUUCAUAGCUCUCUGAUAAGUAGCACCAGAUUUUUUCAAGCCAAAGGUCAUGACUAUCCAUUCAAACAACCCAACAUGACCAGGACAUCUAAACGCGGUCUUUGGAACAGCUUCCUCAGCCAUGAAUAUCUGAUUAUAUCCUACAUUGCCGUCCAUAAAGCUUAUGAUCCGAUGUCCAGCCGUAGCAUCGACCACCAAAUCAGCAACUGGCAUUGGGUAACCAUCCAUCGGUGUAGCCUUGUUAAGAUUCCUACAAUCAAUGCAAACUCGAAGCUUUCCAUUUUUCUUGUAGACUGGAACGACAUUGGAAAUCCAUUCGGCAUACCGACACUGUUGAAUAAAUUUAGCUUCGAUAAGUUUGGUUAUUUCCUGACUUGAUAGGUAACCGAUGUUCGACAAUCGAUCGGUCUAAACCAGGCAUCUCAGUAUAAUCCCAAGCAAAGCAAUCUUUAUAUUCCUUUAACAAAUCGGUCAACUGUUGCCUACACUCAGAAUCUAACUUAGCACUAAUAAAAGUAGGUAUAGGCUUAUCACCAUUACCUAUAUCUAUUUCUACUAAAUCAUCGGCCGAUGUAAACCCCUGGCCUAAUUUUCCAUCAUCGGCGAACCUAUCCAUUAAAAUUCCUCAUCAGAACCGACUGUUUGGAUCGGUGGAAUUUCAUAAUCGGCAACCUUGAGGAAAUCUUUCUCUCAAAUUUCUCCUGAAAUGCACCUGGUCCUUUCAUAGGUAUCUGCUUCUGCCGAUGCAAUGACGUAUGAAGAAUCCCCUAGGACAAUCUCAAUCUUGUCUCCUACCCACUGAACCAAACAUUGGUGCAUUGUAGACGGGAUGCAACAAUUGGCAUGGAUCCAAUCUCUUCCUAAUAGAAGAUUAUAAGCACCCUUUCCACUAAUGACAAAGAAAGUCAUCGGCAAGGUUUUGCUGUCGAUGGUCAACUCAACACAUAUUGCUCCCUUAACCGAAGACACAUUUCCUUCAAAGUCCUUUAGCAUCAUAUCGGUCUUGGUCAAAUCUUGAUCCCCUUUCCCAAGCUUCCGAUAGACUGCAUACGGCAUAAUAUUGAUAGCAGCCCCACUAUCGACGAGUAUCUUGGUCAUUGGCUGCCCAUCAACUCUUCCUUUGACACAAACAAAGCUUUAAGAUGUUGUCUUUCAUUGUCGGCAGGCUUCUCAAAGAUAGCCGUCAUCGGAUCUAGAGCCAGCUGAGCUAUUUGGUCGGAAAAAUCUAGCUCCUCAUCAUCACUGGUCGGCGCAAGGAACUCCAUCGGCAACAUAAAUACCAUAUUAACACUUGCCGAUGGCCCUUUCUCUUUAGGAUCCCGCUGUUGUUGAUCUCCAGACUUAGCAGAAUUUUCUCUCAACUCUUCUCAUCUUUCACGCUACAGCCUUCUUUUCUAUGUCCUGGUCAGCCCUUCUGGACACCAUGGAGGAAGUUGUGGCUGCCUUACCGAUGGACGAUGACUUUCCCUUGACUCCACUCGAUAAGUAUUAGCAUCCCUACAAAAUAUGAACUCAUCGGGAACUCGUGCAUUCGCAUGAGCCUGCCCCCCAGCCGAUCAUGAACGGAGGUUCUUCCCCUGAUCGGCCCGUUAAAUCUCCGAUCAUCGUUUUGAUAUUGCCAAUUAGGUCUAUCAUAUCGAUCAUAGCCAUUGCACUAAGGGCAGUCUCUAACAGUGGGCAAUUUGAUGUUUUGUUCCCAACAGUGGAUAAAGAAUGGGCAAUUCCAAUGAUCUUUAUGUCGAUUCCACUCUUGUUGGCGUCUUUCUUCUUCUCGAUAAUAAUCCUCCUGUUGGCACCAAUAUCGAUCUUUACGUUGCUGCCAGGUCUCCUGAGACCUUCUAUGAGUUAUCACGAUGCCAGAUCGGAAAGGCCUUCCUGAGCCUGUUCCUUCCUGGAUCAAACCCUUGCCUUUAGCGUCAUCGGCAGUAAUCUGAUGUUGAGGAUCUACCGAUGCGCUUCUUUCAGCUGCUUCCGACGUUAAAACUUUAGUUUUUCCUUUAGCAUCCAACAUAUUUGUAGGGAAAGGAUGCUGAUCGAUCUUCAUAGGCUUCUGAGCUUUGGAGCUGUUAAAUUUAAUUCUCCCAAAUUCUAUAGCCGAUUGCAGCUGUUGCCUGAAAAAUUUGCACUCAUUUGUGCUGUGAGAUGUUGCAUUAUGCCACUUGCAGUAUUUCAUCUUCUUUAAUUCUUCAGCCGAUGGGAUCACAUGAUUGGGUGACAACUUGAUUUGGCCUUCCUGAAGUAGAAAGUCAAAUAUCCUAUCGGCUUUGGUGAUGUCAAAUGCAAACUUCUCUGGUUCCUUAUGCCAAAAAGGGCAAGACAUCGUCUUCUUAUUUUUCACCCACUCUGCUAAGCUAAUGACUGGCUCUUCAUCAGAAUCAGAGCUUGCCGCUUCAUCAACGAAUGAUACCUUUUUGUUCCAUGCUCUCUUGGGUUCAAAAGGUUUAAUAUCUUGGUCAGAAAUCCACUGUACCAAAUGACUCAGACUCUCAAACUCUUGAGAAGCAUACUUGUCUCUGAUAUGUGGCAACAAUCCCUAGAAAGCCAAAUUGGCUAGGUGCCGAUCAUCCAGAACCAAACUAUAGCACUUAUUCUUAACCUCUCGCAACCUUUGCACAAAACUCUCAACCGAUUCAUCAUUACGUUGCUUCAGCCUGACUAAAUCGGUAAUCUUCUUUUCAUGAACUCCAGAAAAGAAAUAUUUAUGGAACUAUUUCUCUAGAUUGGCCCAAGUAAUAACUGAAUUAGGAGGUAAUGAAAUAAACCAAGUAAAGGCCGAUCCAGACAGAGAUGAUGAAAACAAGCGGACUCUUAAUUCAUCUCUGUUAGCAGCUUCUCCACACUGGAUGAUGAACCUGUUAACAUGCUCCAUAGUUGAUGUAUCAUCCUGCCCAGAGAACUUGGAAAAAUCUGGUACCUUGUACUGAUUUGGAAGUGGAAUUAAAUCAUAUGUAGGAGGAUGUUGACGGUCCUUAAUGCUCACAUUUAACCAUCAACUAAUCAUAGAAAAGGAUCUAAAUGCAACCAACACCUAGACUUAGGGUUUUAUCUCACAGAAUUCCACAAGUUUUGGUGUUUGUCUAUUUCUGCAGGGGGUUAUGAGGAAAUACGGAAGAAAGGCCCACACGUCGGGUUUACAUAGAGAUAUUAACGUGCCGCACAAUUAUCUACCAUCUAGAAGACUCCAGAAGCCACGGGACCGAAGCGGAGGCCGAGAGGGCUCAGGCACUGGGCGCCCGCCCUACCUUACUGGGCGCCCGCCCACCUGUUCUGCCCAAUCAGGGUACAACUCGGGGAUCAUGCUCCACCGACCUAAUACUUCAAGGGAAACCACACGAUCAAUGUCGGUUUGAUCCGACGGCCCAGAUUCACUUGAAGGGACUAUAAAACCAGACCCCCCUGGCCCCUGGAGAUCAUACCUCUUCUACAGAAUCAAAGUUAGGGUUUCAAUUCUUCAUCCAAGUAGAGAGGAUCCCUCUAGUUCUUCUAGUUCUACCUCUAGUUCAUCUAGAUCUAGUUCUAGUUCAUCUAGUUCUAGUUCUAGUUCCUCUAGUUCUAGUUCUAGUUAGUUCUAGUUGUAAUCUAGAAAAUAGGGAGAGAGAAGAGGAGAGCGGAGGAGGAGGAGCCGGAUCUGUCGGAUCUUCCUCAACAUUGUACUUUUGCAGCAUCUGGUUCGUUCUUCAUCGUUCUCCAGGUUCUUCAACUCAUAACUCCUGAGUUCUCUAAUUACUUUUAUUACAUUCAAGUUAUUUAUUGGAUUCCCGCUUGCAUCAAGUGCUCUAAUCUUUGAAACAUUAGAGUAGUAAUUAAUAGAUUAGACGUGGUGUUUAGUCUUGCAAUUACCUGGAAUUGCACCCAAUCCUGCGGAUUGUUGUGGUAGCCUUAGGGUAGUGACAGCCCUAACGGUCGACGUAUUCCACCACGUUCGGAUCGGUGUUUGUAGGACUGUAGUCAGACCUUCCUAGCCCCCUUCUCAUCUCUUUCUGUGGUUAGUGCUCUGAUGUCCCGAUAUAGAUAAUCUUGAAGUAAUUCUUGAUUCUUAGAUCAACUAGAGAACUCUCAGGAAACUUCCUCUCUUCCCACCAAAAAUAAUUAUAUAGUUAUCCUUGGGCGAUCUUGGAUCUUAAUUAGUACACUCACGUUCUCUGUGGAAAAUCGAUACUCUGGAAUACUCCCGGGUGAAAGCUACAUCGGUAUCCGUGCGCUUGCGGAUUUUUCUGUUUGCGUUUAAAAUACCCAACAAGCUUUCUGGCGCCGUUGCCAGGGAACGGUAGCUGUGCUAGUUUCGAACCAAGUCGUCCGUGUAUCCUUUUUAUUUUCCUUUUUUACCACACUCACCUUAUCAUUUUCACCAAACCACAUGGAUUUCAUUCUAAGCAUUAAUGAGCAUGGAAUUUAUUUCAUAGCCACUUCAUUUACUCCAUGCUCAUAUGCAACAUCUUCACAAUCCAUUGGUCUCUCCAACAUCACCACAUUCGAGAUCUCCAACCCCCUCUUCCUUUCUAUUCAUAAAAACUUUAAAAGGGCGGUUGUCGAUGCAUAUGUCUAUAUUAAAUAUUGUAGAUCUCGUUGAGUUGAUCUUGAUAUAGGUCAGCGUUGGAGGGGAAACCACUUCGCCGACAUAAAUUAAUGGUUUCCCAAGGACAAGCUUAGCGUCCUAAAAUAAGCACUGAUCAGACCAUAACAUAAACUUUUAAUUAUUCGCAACAUUACCUUGUGUGUUGAGCAUAUCAGGAUAAUUGUAAAAAUAUUCCUUCGGGUAUUCUUGUCACUAACCUUUCCAGGAUUGGAGCAAGAAGAUCGGAUGAAUGACAAGCACAAGGUAUGUCCAACCAAUCAUCAUACAACAUUGAAUUAAAUUCAUCCAAACUUGAAUUUUGCAAAAUUCAAGCUUGGGGGAGUAUUUUACAUAAAAACAUCCUUUGCCAUGUUGCUAUGUUGGUUAUCCCUACCUUUGAGACAUGCUCAAUUUGUUAAAUACUAAUCACACUACUUCAUCUCCACUUGAGUAGAUCUCUAUAAAUGCUCUCAUGCUACCUUUACUUGCUUUAGUAUAUGUUUAGGUUUGGAGUAGUUUCAUUUAUCUCUUAAUUAAGCAUGGUGCUUAGUUAGGAAUGAUGAUCUUACUUCCAAGGGAUUUUAAAUUAAGCAUGAUGCUUCGGUUAAAAUGCCCUCCUAAAAUCAAAUUAGACAUGGUGUCUAGGUUGAUCUUUGAGCCGAUAGUAUGCUAUAGUAGAUAUUGGAUAUUUUGUUGGACUAACCCCUGCAGGAAAACUUUAACUAUUGACCUGGGAAGUCCUGAGAUAAACUCACAUUGGAGACAAAGAGAGACACACACGAAGUUUAACAAUUUACACAAGGAAGGCAUAGCUCACAAGAGAUGAUCCAUGGAGGGUGCAAAAAAAAACACGAUGCACAACCGCUAAGAGAGGAAAGCUUCCACAAGGUGAUACUGUACCAUCACUCUUCAAGUCAGGUAACAUCUUAAAGUACUUGACUAUCACUUUUAUAAGCUUCUCCUUGGUUCUGGCGUUCACAUGAGUAAAAGAGACAAACAUGUAUGAUUUACAACUCUAGAUUAACCAACCCAAUCGAUUCAAUAUGUUUAGUCCUUCCACCUUUGUGAUCCCACACUCCUAAUCAUAUGAGCUAAAAUGUUGCACACUCAAUCUUUGGAAGAUAUAUAUAUAUAUAUAAAACAUAAGUAUAGAUAGAUUAUCUUUCUAUUAGGUUGAGUGAUCUGAUCUGACGAAUGUUUUAAAUGCUACACUCAUGAUCUUAUUAUCCAUCAACUGUGUCUUGCUCACUAUGCUUAAGGAUAGAGAAGAGCAAAUACACUUUUGGUUCUGUUGGUGUUUUCCACCAACAGGGCCCAUGCACUUGAUCUCUGCCUUGUCUCUAUGAGCAGGUACAUUUCGAGCAAAAUAUGAAGGACUUUUAUAACUCCCAGACUCCACCAAGUGAAGAACCUAGAUCUACGAGCACAAACACACUGGAGAUACUGGACACUCAGGCAAUCACUGCCUUGGGAUGCUUGAGGACAUAACUACUGGAGUAACCCCGUUGUGGAAGUAAUUACUGACCUUCUGCCGGUCAAGAGAGUCAAUCUAGGACACCCUGUCAUCCCGAUCUCCAUCGGCAUGGCGGACUUCCUAGAAGCACUCUGCGACUUUGGCCCCAGCGUCAACAUUAUGCCUAGGGUACUCUAUGAAAAAUUCUUUACACGUCCUUUAUUAGAAACAGCCAUGUGUUUGCAGCUUGCAGAUCGUACGCUAGGGAAUAUUGAAGAACCUCUGCGUCCGAGUUGGUACCUUGUACGCCCCAGCAGACUUGGUGGUGAUAGAGACUGGUUCUGAUGAGAGGGCACCCAUCAUUCUAGGGAGGCCAUUCCUGAACACCUCGGGAGCAGUCAUCCACGCUAGUGCUGCUAAGAUCAGUUUCUACAUCAAGGGGACGAAGGAGACGUUUUCCUUCAAUAAUAAAACUACACAAAUCUCAGAGCAAUCCCGACAUGAACCAAGGAAGAGGACCAACAGGAGGAAUAGAAACAAGCAAAUGUGGACUGAGUCAGCUAAGAUUGUCACUGCAGCUCAAGAAGGUCAAGAUCGUCAACUCAAGUCGCCUUUCUUGAUCAAGAAGGAUGACCCUGGUGUUCCAAGCAUCAAGUGCACAAUCAACGGAUAUUCUUUUCACAAGACACUCUACGAUACUGGAUCUAACGUCAACAUAAUGGCCGCAGUCACUUAUCAGCUCCUGCAUGGAACCAUGUCCCUACAACCAACAUACAUUCAGCUCCAUAUGGCAGAUCAGACAUUCCGAAAGAUUGAAGACAAGUACGAUCCACCCAUCAUCCUUGGAAGACCGUUCCUCAGCACCGUUAAAGCAAUCAUCUACAUUGGAACUGGAGAAGUCCACAUGCAUUUCCCCUCUGAGAAGGUACGCCGCUAUUAUACUGACCCUAACUAUAUAGUUGAAGACUCUAAGCAGGUCAGGACAAGAAGGAGACGACGCAACCGCAACCAGAGAAGGCAAAUCAUCAAGGAUGGAUGGGCAGACUACGAAGGAGAAGUAGUAAGGUCCAAAGACAUACAGCUUGAACAGAACUGUCCUGAGGAGACCGUAGCACCGAGCUAGGUGUGGAGAGAGAAGAUAGUUAUACACGAAGAGCAAGCGCCGCCGGAACCACCGACUACGCCAUCCAGCGAAUCCUAGGACAACUGAGAAGACGGAGAGUCCCAUUCGGAGGAUUUAAAAACACCGAACGCCUUGCCAAGAGGUAAACUUGGUAGUUAUCUUUUUCCUUUCAAUUAUUUUAAAAUAGUUUGCUUAGUUAAUCAGGUUCACAUCAUCCUAAAAAGAAAAUAAAAAUGUUAAAAAUAGUAAGCCCCAUGUGAGUAUGCUCAUGGCAUAAAACCCAUAAGUACAUUCACUGUGGUGGCAUAAAAAUGAAAUAAAUAUAUUCCUGUCCUAGAAAAAUAAAAAUAUAAAAAAAAGAUUGUGAUCCUACUAAAGAGAGUAAUAUUUAUUAGAGGAGGCUCAACAUGAUAAAGGCUAGAUAUUUAUGCUAACACUUAACUAGUUCCACAAAGCUUUGUUGUCUAUUUGAACUCCACAGAAUUCAAGGAUCAAAGAAGACUAGCAGAGGGAGGACAUCCUAAUCGCUGUCAGGGUGCUGCCGACAUUCAAAUACACCUCCACCACUUGCUAGCUACAUCAAAAGGAAUUACGUCAAAAUCCAGCUUGGGGGAGAGCACACCCAUUUAUCCAGCUAAGUGUUCUACUCACGUUUAUAUUUUACUCAAAUAAUAAAAUGAUGCAUAAUCAUAAAAAUCAAAAUAAAGAUUCUGUGCUUAUAUAUAUCUUUGCUUAGUUUGCUAAAUAAAUAAAUAAAUAAAUAAAGUUUGCUAUGAACCCUCAUGAUAAGCUCUCACAUGGAAAUGAUGAAUAGUUGCUCUGCCAUAACUAGUUCUUAAAAUUGAAAUCUCUCUCAAGUUUAGGCAUGACUGUUAUUAAUUAAGAUUUUCUCUAAACCUGAACUUGUGGGAAGAGUACUUGAUCUAAAGUCUAAGUUGUUAACGGAUAUGAUAUGGGAAGGUUGAGCUGUUGUUUAUCUGUUCCUAGAGAUGCUAGAAUUUUGGAGAAUUUUAUCUUGAAAAUCUUUAAAAUGUUGCAUGAUGAGUUCCUGUAUGAUGAGAGUUUAAAUUCCUACCACAGCCAUAUAUACAUGCUUACUAGACUUUGAGCCACACAUUUACUUUUUACUGCUUAUGAGCAUUGAGUGUGGUCAAGCUGUGUAGACCCUUAGGAGCUUGUCAUGUGGUUAAAUCAAGAUUCACUUGCACGUUCACUCAUACAUGCUACUUCUACUUUGGAAGUACGCAUCCACAUAUAUCCAUCCAUUUCCAUCUCCAGAACCACCCAAAAAUAUUCUACUCCUAAUCUGGGAGAGAAUAGCCAAAAAUAUUUCUGUUUUUCCCCUAUGAAAUAAAUGCUCAAGUUAUCUUGUUACUACCACUUGCUACAUUAUUUCAGGAUACGAGUGCUCUAAAAAAAAAGAAGAAAAAAAAACAAAGAAAGAUACGAGGAAAUAAAAAGGGGCAAGUGCCCGGAACCUCAAAAGAAAAGAAAAAGUGAGACGAGAGGUAAAAAUGGACAAGUGUCCGACAGUAGAAUUAGGGGUACACGAUACCCACCUGAGAGAAAAGAAAAAAAAGAGAAAAAAAAAUAUAGAGCAUCUCAUUCUCCUCAAAAAGUUUGAAAAGAGCAAGAAAGUUAUGUAUCCCCUCAAAAAAGCACAAGUAGAAUUAGACUUUCACCAUUGUUAUUACCGUUACUUUCACCAUUAUCACCAUUCAUUCGCCACACAUGCGCAUCUUGAUUUGACUUAUUGACUUGUUCUUCUGGAUCCAUGGUUUGACUAUGCAAUAAAUGUCUUGUAAGUAUGUAUUAGCUGUCUCCCACCUAUGAGCUCCAGAUAUCAAAGCCUUAUUAGAGUAGGGUGAGAGAGAAGGCAAUGCCACUAUGCCUUAUACCAAAAAUACCACAUACUGGAGAGAAGGCAUACACCAUUACUGCCUUGGUAAGGAUCCAGAAAUACCACAAAUGAGAUACUAGAGAGAGUCAUACAAGAAAUCUCUGAGUUUUAUUUGAAAAUCUGCAAAAACUCCAGAGCUAUAGUUAAUCGAAGAACAAGAGACAUGGUGCUUGACUAGACUGUUCUAUCUUUUAACUACUCAAGACACAAGUGACGGUUACAAGUCCCAUGGUGAAAGGUAAAUGAGUAAGUUUUAAGUCUUAACAGUUUACUCUAACCAGAGAUGAGAUCUUGAUUAAAUGCAUGUAUAUCUUUAAGGCAUUAAACCACUGCAGAAACUCUUGAGUUCAUCUUUGCUCAAGGACGAGCAAAGGUUAAGCUUGGGGGAGCUUGUUGACGGUCCUUAAUGCUCACAUUUAACCAUCAACUAAUCAUAGAAAAGGAUCUAAAUGCAACCAACACCUAGACUUAGGGUUUUAUCUGACAGAAUUCCACAAGUUUUGGUGUUUGUCUAU
rnacentral:lncRNA from 1 species